rnacentral:lncRNA from 1 species
UUGAAGUCAAAGUUAACUUCUCGCUGGCAAAGAAGCCGAUUGUGAAGGAGCGGUCUCCAUACUGUUGGCCGUAAACACAGGUGGAGGCGGAACAAUCGCUGGGGACACCGGAGGCUGCAAGUUGAGAACACGCGGCGGAGUUGCAGGAGAUGUUGGAGUAAGAGGUAGAGAGAGAAGGGUCGAAGAUGGGAUCUUUCUGUUUGUAACAAGAUACAGAACAUGGUCGGCACUGUGUCCAAGUGAGACUGCUGCCGGUGUCGAAUACAAGCGAGAGUUGCUUCUGGGGCGAGCCCAAGCCGACACUGACGAUGUAGUUUCCAGAACCAAGUACGCUGGCAGACUGGGCGGGAAUCACGGUGGCUUCUGAUUGUGCAAGUGGGUCGGGGAUUCUGUAAUUACGGUUUGAGUCGUUGAAAUGGGAGUGGAUUGAGUUGACUCGGGCUUCGUCUUGCUUGAGGAUUUGUAUGUGAUAUUCAUCUUGAUCGGAAGGGUUACUGUUUGAUUUGACUUGGUGGACUUGGUUGCAUGGGCCGUAUUUGUGGACCACUUUCAGUACGGAUGCCGCCUUAUUGUCAUAACCUGAAUUGAGAAAUGUAUAGGUUUGUCGUUAGAUACAAUUUUUUUUUAACAAACGAUAUUAUCUACAUACUUACAUGGUGCCAAUUACUUUUAUGAAGUACAAUAUAUAUAAGUGUGUGUGUGUGUGUGGUGACACGAGUUGUUUUUACACAUGCUUUUAUGGAGCCUAUUCGUAAUGUAUUUCAAUGAUCUGAACUGUUUAUCUUUUAUGUUUCCCCUCAAAGAUCUUGUUUGCCAAAAAUAACCUAGAUCUAAAAUCAUAUGACUGUUGGAUUAACGAUUUAGGUUUUUUUUUUUUUUUUUUUUUUUUUUUCGUAAAACCAUAUUUGUCAAUUUUCUUCACUAAAAGAUAGACGGUUCAUAUCGUUAAAAUACAUGACGGAAUGGGUACAAAAUUAAAAAUAGAAACAUAUGAUACAAAUUUUACCCAUAAAUAUAAACAUACCAAAUGUAACACUUAUGACACUAAAUAGAUUUAUUUGGAAAAUUAAACUUAAAUAUGCUGACAUGUAAUUAUUUCAUUACUAAAAUAAUGACAUAGAUAAAAAUAAAAAUAAAAUAAGAUUUCAAUCGAUGGAAUAGAAAAAUGAGGGAUUUAAACCUAAUUUUUCUAUUAAAAUAUUUCCAUGAACUUGGCACUCAUUCAACACAAUGCAUGCAAUGAUCCAUAUAUAAAGCAAGUAGAAUACGCUUCAUUGAGAUUGAAAAGACAACAUAUGCGUGCAUGGAUAGAGGAGUUAGCUAGAGAGAGAUAUGGGAUCGACCAUUGGUGGAGGGUCUGCAGGUGUUUGCUGGUAGAAGAGAGAUGACUUCAACUGUGUAAGUACGUGAAAGGAGGUUUGUUUUUGUAUCUCUUACUGCCAAAGAGCAGAGAAUUAGGCAUAGAAAUGCUGAUAAACCAAUGGAAAAUCUAAGGAAGGAGGAGGAGCUAGAAAUGGGAGUUGCCAUGAUAGCAGAUUAGCAAGUCUUCUUGCUAUUUCCUCUAGAUUAUGUUGCUCCUGUAAGCAUACGAUCUCAACCUUAUAUACUAAUUGGAAAUUGGAAGACAUGCAGGGAUGGCCACCGUGUUGUCGGGUUUAAUUAUUUUUCUAUUGAAAAGUACAUUGAUCAAUUGGUAAUUACCUACCACCACUCAACUCGUCAAAGUCCAUAGAGACCAUAUAUACACCAACGUUCUCAACACGUUCAAGUCCACUAUAUUACUUCGUUGCAUUCCUCAAGGGACUGUUAGAGAAUAUUACUCGAGUUCAUCCGAUUGUGAUUAAGAAAUCUCGUUAAACAAAUGUUAUUGACAUGCCCCAACUUCGAUAUCCCCAAAUACCAGAAUGGACACAUGUUGGCCGACACUCGAGUGUGACGAAGCCAUAAUGAUACGCAUGCAAGUUAUAAAAGAAGAACGAAUGUAAAUAAAAAUAGGUAAAUUUAAAAUAUAAUGGAAUGUGGAAAUGCAGGAACAUGUUUAGAGUAUACAUCUAAUCAAGAAUAAUGUGAAAGAAUUAUUAUACAAAGGUACAAAUAAAGGAAUGGGUUCUACGCUGAGAAGACUCGAAGAUACCCAUGUGAAAGUGCCCUGACGCCAGGAUCGUACGCCUCGAUUCUAAAUCCUAAAGGGAGCUGUUUGGGCCCAAAAUAAUAGUUUGGGCCGAGGGCAGGAUCACUCUCGGCCUAGGAAGCCGUGCGGCGAAAGGAUUAUGGAUCGGUCAGCUCAUGGGCUUCCAAGCCCAGGUCAGUUAAAUCAGAACGCAAGUCGAGUCCUAGUAUAAUCAGGACUCUCGACGAGAUCAGUAGUCUGGAAGGCGAAUCUGGUUCAGUUAAGGACCAAAUUCGUAGUCCUAGUGGAGAUAGGACUGGUCGAGGUGAUGUUAAUCCGGAGAAGGAAACAUAGUCCGAUUAGGAUUGUAACUCGGGCUCGGUGUUCCGCUACUAUAAAUACAAGACAUUCAGCGACGGAAAAAAGUCCCCUGCAAAUCAAUACAAAAUUGCCCUGCGCAAACUCUCACAACUUGAGAUCUUUUCUUUUUCCUUUUUUCGCUGACACAUCUUCCGUUGGCAUCAACAGCACUGUGGAAGCAACCGGUGAUAUCUUAAGUCGGCAUAGAUAGCUCUGUCACCGUAGAGUCAGUCGGUCUUGCAGUAUCUUCCGUUGGCAUCAACAGCACUGCGGCGAGAACGAUUGAUUACCUAUCCAAGUCUCGGUCGAGAAGGGUUUCUGAAUCCUUAUUGGUCGAGGUCAUCUCAUUAGCCUUUUCGGCGAAGUGAGGUGUUACAGUUAUUAUAUUCGGCACGUUGAAAGCCGAAUUCGGUUCGUGAACUUCGUAAGAAUAGCAGCCUUGUCUUCAGGCUCGAGAACCCAAGAGGCCGAGACGUGUUCCUUUCUCGGCCGCAAUCGCAAGACGCAGAAGUCAGUAGCGCGACCCAACGCAACAUCAACAAAUUUACUCCUCGGCCGAGCUCGGCCGACGAGUUGGCACGCCCCGCAUUCAUCGAAGGACGUAGUUAGCUCAUUAAUUACUCGGCCUGCGCGCCACGUAGGCUUGGUAGUUUUUAGGGUCAACCUGAGCGUAAAACAAAGGGUGAGUGGACCAAAGUGUAUAAUGCUAAUACUAAUAAUAGUAAACCAUUUUCUUUCUGAACAUAUUAACCCAUUGUUCUGAAAACUCAAAUAGUACUACAUAAUAGGUUUUAUGAAAACUCUAGCAUGUCAUGAAAACGUUCAUAAAACAUGUACUAUAAACCAGUGCUCAGUAAUGGUAUCAUAGUCACCCGAAGUCAAAUCCAUAAAACCUUCGAAAAUCCAAAAUAGUAAAGUACUCAACUAGGGGUAUCAUAGUCGCUCAAAGGUAUAACCAUCACCUGAAGGUGAAGCUGUAAGAAAUAUAACAUAACACAUCGACACUAGCCGUGGCUAGUGAAGCUGUCUGACAUUGGUUUCAUCAAUGAUGCUGGGAUUAUGUCAUAAAUAUCCUCAACUCUAUCCUAUGGCCUUAGGUGACUACAUACGCGUGUUGUGUGUAUGUGCUGUAUGAUAACCCAUUAGAUAAGCACAAAAAAUGUAUCUCAAAAUCUCAUAACAAAUCACCGGAGCUAAAAUACUCAAAGCAUCAAUUCAUAAACCAUGAUAAUUCAUAUCGUUUCAUAAAAUGUAAAUUCAAUAAAUCGUAAAUAAAUCAUAAAACAUACAAUCAUGAAAUCAUGCUUUUCGUGAAUGCAACCCUAAUAUUUUAUAAAACAUGCAAAUUAAGAAGACACUCACAAAUAUUCUGUUGGCGGGGAGUCGCUCGAACUAGAAAGGACGGGGCCACUUCCAACCGACACACCUAAAUACAAAUAAAGAGCAUUUAAUAAAAUUCUACUAAAACAUUAGAAUUUGGAAAAACAGAUAGCGGAUUCGGAUUUGGCACGUUGAAAAACCUAAGGAGGGACCUUGGGUUCCCCUACGUGCCACCACUGAGCGGCGGCCCGAAAUGCCACCUGCCACCACACAUGCCGCCACGAAGCAGUGGCCUGGAAGGACACGCACCACCGCACUCGUAGCACGUGCUAAUAUGGUAGCUGAAAAAUUCGCCUACACCGUCAUGGAUGGUGGCUGAGCACAGUACCUCCGACGGAGGCAUGUAUGCUCCACACACCGACUAUGGCAAUCCUCCACGGGCACCCAUGCGUGGCCUACGCUUCAACUAAGGAAUCUGGGAAUUGGGUCUAGGUCGUGUCGGAUCUGGGCUUUAGGUUCCUGGGUCGGGUCUGAUCCGGAUCGAAUCUAGGCUUUGGGUUACUGGGUUGGAUCUAGGCUAGGGUUAAUGGGCCAAACAUUUGGGUUGCAUGGCCCAAAUGUUUGGGUUGGGUUAUCGGUUGUAGGUAGAGUUUAACUCGAUUUCAGGCCGUGGGUCAACCAGAUUCCACAAAGAAGAAAGCCGGAGCUUGGAAAGCUUCGAUCAUCCCCAAGACUCAACUGAAACUAGUCAUUCAAUAUACCAAAUUGAAGUCCAAAGAACAAGGAGUUGAAAUAUACCUUUGGUUUCCUCGACCGUGGCCGGAGUUGGCCGGAAAAUGGCUUGGAAGUUCAAGUUCUCAUCGAAAAACUAGGGAAGUCUCCCCGAGCUGAUUUCAUGUUUAAACUUUCACCAAAAUCAUUUUUAUUCAACCAUUGAAUACUCUAGACCACGUGGGAAGAACAUCAAAGGGUGGUUCGUGACUUAUCUUUGUCGAGGACGGCAAUAACUCAUCGGGAAAGGUUUGCAUAGUAAAAGCACUUGCUGUGCAGUGGAAAAGAUUGAGGAGAAGGGGGUGAUCUCGUCUUGUGCUCGCUGAAGUGGGAUGGUGGUUAAGGUCCAAAUGUAUGUGGGUGUGAGUGUGUGAGGGUGUGCUCGGCAAUGGAGAAGGAAAGAGUUGCAAAGAUGGGGGAGAGACAAGGAGAGAAAGAGAGAGUUCUAAAGAGUCAUUGGGAAGAGAAAUGAGAGAAAAAAGAGGGAAAAGAAAGAGAGGGCAGGGAGACAACAAAAUAGGGGUGGGCCCCACUGGUACACCAACCAAAGUGAGAAAAUUUGAAAUGAGAAAAUAUCUCGCGGGACAUAAAAUUACCAAGAUGCCCUACUGUUCCAAAUUUUGUAAAAUUCACGUUUUAGCUUCAAAUUCAAUUCCACUUGCCCCCAUGCGUUCGUAGCGACGCAUGCUAUAAGGAUAUGCCAAAGAAACGAAUCUCAAGUGACACAACAAGGCGGUUAACAAAAGUCAACGUUUUUCACCUCGGAUGGCAUUUUCGUAAAUUCACGAUUUAAAAUUAUAAAAACCCUAAAAUUGGGGACUAGUUAUCACAGUUAUAAUUGAAAUUGUUUAUUUUUUUAAUUAAAAAUUUUGCUACAUUGAAGAGUUUCAAACAAUAAAUCUAAAUUACUCUUACCUAUAAACAUAGACCUGCCCACACCACUAGUUUUCUUAAUCAUAGUUUAAAUAUUUAUCAUCUCUAAAAAUAAUAAUAAUAAUAAGAGAACAUUUGUAGUUCACAAUGAAAUUUUUGAAGUGCUAAAUUAGCACUCAUUCAUUAUUUCAACCAAGUUUUAAUAUUAAUAAAAGUAGUAGAUGGCACUUUAUUGCGUAGAGGUGGGUUAGAAAAACCAAAAAUCGAAAAAAAAGGAUUGAAAACCGAACUGUAAUCGAAAAAAAUUGAACCAAAAGUACAAAACCGAAUCGAACCCCUUUAGCCACUAAUUAUUCAAUAUGCCAAUCCCUUUGUUCACACCACCACCUCCCAUGGAUCAGGAAAUGCGUUUGCUCCGACUCAGGUGUUCGCACCGCCACCUCCCAUGAAUUUGUCCUCGGUGGCUUUGUUGCCUCCAGUGACCUUUUUCUUGGUGGGUCAUCUUUCACUAGCUUUCUUUGGUUUGUGGUUGUUGUUUUGAUCUACAUGGUGCUUUGUGGAGGUUGUUGGAGUUGUCUUUUCCAUCAUUUUUGUGGAUUUGGUUGGCUGUUUGGAAUUCUAAUUCUCGGCAAUGCAUUGCUUCUACUGCAGCAGUUCAAGAAGGAUUGUAGUGUCUUUGUUUGGUUUUUUCUGUUCUGGGCUCAAAACUUUGUUUUGGGGUUCCAUAUCUUUUUUUCCUGUUUUUUUUUUUUUUUUUUUUUUUUUUUGUAACUAGAUGUCUUUUCUUUGUAAUUUGGUGUGUUGUUAGUAAUAAAUUUACCUUUUAUAAAAGAAAACGUAUUAUUCAUGAUAAUUACUGUUACUUAUCCAUGAAUACUAGUUUCAAGUAACUUUUCAUACCAUGGUUGGUUAUAAAUAUAUAUGAAUCACACAUUCAUUCAUACAAUAAUUGAAUGUGGUGCAAAAGGGAAGUUAAUAAUGGUAAAGGCAAUCAAUGGUUCAAAUUUUUGAGUGAGAUAGUAAUGCAUCACGUCAUGUUAACAGUUUAGAAUUCAUGUAAUAAUACAUGUUAUAACUAUUACUAAUAUAUAUACAUAAAUUUGUCCUUGAUCAUUGUCAUAUUAUAACUAUUCGACAUGGCUUGCUAGUGCUGCUAUUAUGGUGGACUCUUGAAGUCUAUAAAGCAUGGUGGAGUGCUGGCUUAGGCAUUAGUGAGAGCUUGACCCACCUAAUUCAUCGACAUUUUCUUUCUUUUCUUUUUCCUCCAUCUUUUUAAUUUCUCUUUGCCUUUCCGAGACAUUUACGAGUGACAAAAAGGUAAACAUGAACGACUUUUGCCUCGUCGUGUACAAGGGGAGAUGCAAAGUUUGAGUUUUGUUGACCAGCUGCGUUUUUGGUAAAAAUUAACGACUUUUGACUCGUGCUUGGUCUACCUCGAAGAAUUGUGUGUAACAUUCAUGAUGAUCUGUAGCGGUUUUGGUUUUUUUGGUUGGGUUCGUGGCAAUGGCCAUGCAUGUGCACCACUAGUUCUGAUGCAUGUUUCUUUUUGUUGUGACCUGAAUUAGUGAAUCAAUUUCCAAACCUCUGUCAUCAAUUUCAAAACUUAAGCCAUCAAUUUCAAUUCCCGUUUCCCAUCCUCCACAUCCAUGGUUUCAUUCCUUACUUCUCCUACCCUUCCCAAGUGGCUCCGGGUUUCCUCGACCCCAUAUAUUUGCAGAUCUUCAGUCACUCUCCUCCAUCGCGUUUUGACGUGAUUCUCUCAGGAAGUGCAUACCUCUCUAAGAGGAUUUUUGUCAAACUAACCACUUCACUUAAUAAGGAUAUUGACAUAUUUUUCACAGAAUGAUCAAAAUGUUUACGGUGGACAAACUCAAGGACCACUUUCAUCAAUUUUCAUUAUCAGAGAACAAAGUGAAGAGUUAUGCCAAUUUCAUGAAACAUUUUAGUGAAAAAGCCUAGAACAAAAUAAACCUAGGAUCCCCCAUAGCCACUAAUUAUUCAAUAUGCCAAUCCCUUUGUUCACACCACCACCUCCCAUGGAUCAAGAAAUGCGUUUUGCUUCGACUCAGGUGUUCACACCGCCAUCUCCCAUGAAUUUAUCUUGGGUGGCUUCGUUGCCUCUGGUGACCUUGUUGUUGGUGGGUCAUCUUUCACUGGCUUUCUUUGGUUUGUGGUUGUUGUUUUGAUCUACAUGUUGCUUUGCGGAGGUUGUUGGAGUCGUCUUUUCCAUCAUUUUUGAGGAUUUGGUUGGUUGUUUGGAAUUCUGUUUCUCAGCAAUGCUUUGCUUCUGCAGUAGCAGUUCAAGCAGGAUUGUAUGGUCUUUGUUUGGUUUUCUGUUCUGGGCUCAAAACUUUGUUUUGGGGGUCCAUAUCUUUUUUUCCUGCUUUUUUUUUUUUGGUAAUAACUAGACGUCUUUUCUUCGUAAUUUGGUGUACUGUUAGUAAUAAAUUUACCUUUUAUAAAGCAAAACGUAUUAUUCAUGAUAAUUACUGUUACUUAUCCAUGAAUACUAGUUUCAAAUAACUUUUUCAUACCUUUGUUGGUUAUAAAUAUAUGUGAAUCACACAUUCAUUCAUACAAUAAUUGAAUGUGGUGCAAAAGGGAAGUUAAUAAUGGUAAAGGUAAUCAAUGGUUCAAAUUUUUGAGUGAGAUAGUAAUGCGUUACAUCGUAUUAACAGUUUAGAAUUCAUGUAAUAAUCGUGUUAUAACUAUUAAUAAUAUUUAUACAUAAAUUUGUCAUUGAUAAAUGUCAUAUUAUAGCUAUUUGACAUGGCUUGAUAGUGCUGCUAUUAUAAUGCUUACUACAUAAUGAUGUCAGUGGAGGACAUCCAUGCAUGCUGGAACUGCAGGAAUAUGGAAUCGUGAAUUUUAAUUCAAGUGGUAAUUAGCAAGUCAAUGGCGGUCCACUCUAACUUUGACAUUUAAGUCGUUGUCUUACGCUAAUUACUAAAAUGAGUUUAAUUAGGUCUGUCUUAUCAGUUCAAACAACCCAAAAAAUUCCAAACCCAAAAGAAAAAUCAAACCAAUACUUGACAAAUCAAACCAAUACUUGUGUAGUAUUUUGCAGACAGAGACAGAUUUGGAAAAGAUAUGUAUGGCCGAGAGAAAGCAAUUCCUGUCAAAUAUCGUUGAUCAAGUUUUCCAAGCUAGAAACUACGUAGCACGUACGCUUAUUUCCUGGUUGCACAUUUAGAUGUCCCUUUUACAAGUCAAUACUAAUUAAGUCAUCACCUCGAUUACAAAAUCAUAAUAUUUGGGCAACGACUCAUACUCUAAACAUCAUACUAGUAAUCACUUUCAACCUCAUGCCAUACGCUAUACGUAUUAUAUGUCACAUAAUUGGUAUUAAAAUGGGAAGCCCACGAUUUUACCGGACCUAGAAUCGUGGUAAGUGACUAAAUCAAAACAGAAAACAAACUUGUCCCUCAAGUAUAGGAGGGUUAUUAGCACGACCUGAAAUAAAACCCUAAAAACAAGGAACCCUAUCAACUAGGAAAUCCCAACAACUUCAACAAUAAAUCAUUGGCAACCAGCAGGUGCAAAUCCAACCUUUCCACCAGCAACGUCAUACACUACCUGCAACCUCUUCUGUUGAACGUUCCCAAUAAUCCCAACACUACUAUCAUCUUUGUUUCCGGCAAACGCCAAGCAAAACUGCGAAGCACUCUGCUGGAAUAAUAUUCCUGUUGCGUCCACGUCUACCGUAACCCCAUUGCCAAACACAAACCCUAUCGUUGGAAAGGUUAUCGUUUUGAAUCCACUGAAGUCGUAACACGUGUCCAGCAGGGAAGAAAUCGACUUAGCAGUUGGGUAUCUCUUCAUCACUUCUCGAAAUGCGUCCCGCAGCGCUGUGUACGCUGUGGCUGGGAGGCGAGUGAUGACCGUCCCCGAGUCGAUGAUUGUCCCCGAAAUCGAAAAUACUGAAGCCGAAAUUGGCAGUUGACUCCCACCGAUGUUGAUGCCGACCAGUCCGAGGCUGUAAUACGACGCGCCUUGAGAUAAUGUGGUGAGCGGCGUGAACUUGACGGCGUUACCUGAACUUCUGUUGUCGGAGUUACCUAAACUGAGGUAACCAGUGGAGCUUGAAGUGGAAGGGAGGCAGUAGGAGAAGAAUCUCUUGUACUUCUGAGCGGUUUGUUCAACAAGGGAGAUCUUGCUUCGACCGAGACCGAGCAAACCGGCGAUGCCCCUAAAUAAGCCUUGGUUAUUCUGGCCGCAGCCGAAGACGAAACCAGUAAAAACAUCUGUUGAAGUCAAAGUUAACUUCUCGCUGGCAAAGAAGCCGAUUGUGAAGGAGCGGUCUCCAUACUGUUGGCCGUAUACACAGGUGGAGGCGGAACAACCGCUAGCGACACCGGAGGCUGCAAGUUGAGAACACGCGGGGGAGUUGCAGGAGAUGUUGGAGUAAGAGGUAGAGAGAGAAGGGUCGAAGAUGGGAUCUUUCUGUUUGUAACAAGAUACAGAACAUGGUCGGCACUGUGUCCAAGUGAGACUGCUGCCGGUGUCGAAUACAAGCGAGAGUUGCUUCUGGGGCGAGCCCAAGCCGACACUGACGAUGUAGUUUCCGGAACCAAGUACGCUGGCAGACUGGGCGGGAAUCACGGUGGCGUCUGAUUGUGCAAGUGGGUCGGGGAUUCUGUAAUUACGGUUUGAGUCGCUGAAAUGGGAGUGGAUUGAGUUGACUCGGGCUUCGUCUUGCUUGAGGAUUUGUAUGUGAUAUUCAUCUUGAUCGGAAGGGUUAGUGUUUGAUUUGACUUGGUGGACUUGGUUGCAUGGGCCGUAUUUGUGGACCACCUUCAGUACGGAUGCGUCAUGACCUGAAUUGAGAAAUGUAUAGGUUUGUCAUUACAUAUAAUUUUUUUUAACAAACGAUAUUAUCUACAUACUUAUUUGGUCCCAAUUACUUUUAUGAAGUACAAUAUAUAUAUGGUAACACGAGUUGUUUUUACACAUGCUUUUAUGGAGCCCAUUCGUAAUGUAUUUUAAUUAUCUGAACUGUUUAUCUUUUAUGUCUCCCCUCAAAGAUCUUGUCGGCCAAAAAUGACCCAGAUCUAAAAUCAUAUGACCGUUGGAUUAACGAUUUAGGUUUUUUUUUUGUUUUUUUUUGUAAAACCGUAUUCGUCAAUUUUUUUCACUAAAAGAUAACUGUUUCGUUAAAAUACAUGACGGAAUGGGUACAAAAUUAAAAAUAGAAACAUAUUAUACAAAUUUUACCCAUAAAUAUAAACAUACCAAAAUGUAACACAUUUAUGACACUAAAUAGAUUUAUUUGAAAAAUUAAACUUAAAUAUGCUGACAUGUAAAUAUUUCAUUACUAAAAUACUGACAUGGAUAAAAAUAAAAAUAAAAACUUGAUCAAAAAAUAAAAUAAAAUAAGAUUUCAAUCGAUGGAAUAGAAAAAUGAGGGAUUAAAACCUAAUUUUUCUAUUAAAAUAUUUCCAUGCACUUGGCACUCAUUCAACACGAUGCAUGCAAUGAUCCAUAUAUAAAGCAAGUAGAAUAUGCUUCAUUGAGAUUGAAAAGACAACAUAUGCGUGCAGGGGUAGAGGAGUUAGCUAGAGAGAGAUAUGGGAUCAACCAUUGGUGGAGGGUCUGCAGGUGUUUGCUGGUAGAAGAGAGAUGACUUCAACUGUGUAAGUACGUGAAAGGAGGUUGGUUUUUGUAUCUCUUACUGCCAAAGAACAGAGAAUUAGGCAUAGAAAUGCUGAUAAACCAAUGGAAAAUCUAAGGGAGGAGGAGGAGCUAGAAAUGGGAGUUGCCAUGAUAGCAGAUUAGCAAGUCUUCUUGCUAUUUCCUCUAGAUUAUGUUGCUCCUGUAAGCAUACGAUCUCAACCUUAUAUGCUAAUUGGAAAUUUGGAAGACAUGCAGGGAUGGCGCCUGUGUUAUCGGGUUUAAUUAUUUUUCUGUUGAAAAGUACAUAGCAUCAAUUGGUAAUUACCCACCACCAUUCAACUAGUCAAAGUCCAUGGAGACCAUAUAUACACCAACGUUCUCAACACGUUCAAGUCCACUAUAAUACUUCGUUGCAUUCCUCAAAGGAAUAUUAGAGAAUAUUACUCGAGUUCAUCCGAUUGUGAUUAAGAAAUCUCGUUAAACAAGUGUUAUAAUUGAAAUUGUUUAUUUUUUAAUUAAAUUUUUUGUUACAUUGAUGAGUUUCAAACAAUAAAUCUAAAUUACUCCUACCUAUCAACCUUGGCCUGCCCACACCAUUAGUUUUCUUAAUCAUAUUUUAAAUAUGUAUCAUCUCUACCAAAAAAAAUAUAAUAAUAAGAGAAUAUUUGUAGUGUACAAUAAAAUUUUUGAAGUGCUAAAUUAGCACUCGUUCAUCAUUUCAACCAAUUUUUAAUAUUAAUAGAAGUCGUAGAUGGUGCUUUACUGCGUAAGGGUGGGUUGGAAAAACUAAAAACCAAAAAAAAUGGACUGAAAACUGACCCAUAACCGAAAAAAACCAAACCGAAAAAAAUUAAACCGAAAGUACAAAACUGAAUCGAACCGAAUAAAUUAUAAAUUAGUAUUUUUUUAUUUAAAUUAAAUUAUAUGUUAACAUCUUCUAAGCCCAAUUCCAAACAUUAGUUAGUUUCAGCACAAUCUACGGAAGCCCAACUUCAAGCCGAAAACAUAUCAAUAUUAUAAUUGUCAAUUCCCUAAAAGGAAACCCUAACCAUAUCACCCACAUGCUCUGACUCCUAUUGGAAGAAAUUUUUCGUAUAUCGAUAUAGACGAUGUGUAUAUCACGUGUCACUAUACAAAUGAUAAGAUAAAUGUGUUAAAAAGUUAAUAACUUAAAAAGUAAAAUUUCCUACUAUUUAUAUAAAAACACGUGGUAUACCCCGUGUACCGGUCACAAUGAAAAAUUUCUCGCCUAUUGGACCUAUUCCUUUUCUCUCCCGUUAUGCAAAUUCUUAGUCAACGCCUUCUGUGUAGUAUAUUAGGUGCGGCGGCAAUGGAAGAAAUUUGGGUAAUUGGGCUCCAAUCUAUUAAACUACAGAAAUAUAGUGAGAAGAAGAAGAGAUUCAAGCAAUUUAGAGAGAGAAGUAGAAACCAAACACUUCCAGUAUAUUACUUUUCUUACCUUCUAAGCAAUCCCACAUACAUCAGUAUUUAUACCCUUUUCAAUAUUCUAAACAAACUACCUAACUAACUUUCUAACUAACUCUCUAAUCUGCAUACAAGUGGCAGUAUCUCAGCCACACAAUAUAUGUCUAUCAUCCUCCCUCAAGCUCAUGUUUGGAUGAUCCUAACAUGAGAUUGUUACAAUGAAAAAGGAACAAUGAAGAACUGAGGCCUUUGGUCAAGAUAUCAGCAAACUGCUCCUUGGAGGACACAAACUGCACCACAAGCUUGUUCUGAGAAACCCGCUCUCGAACAAAAUGCACAUCAAUUUCAAUGUGUUUGGUCCGUUGAUGUUGGACAGGAUUGAAAGACAAGGCUAUAGCAGAAAGGUUGUCACAGUAUAAAACAGGAGGAGCGGACAUCGGAAAAUGCAGAAAAGCAAGGAUUUGUUGAAUCCAAUCAAGUUCUGCUGCAGUGGAGGAACAGCAGCACUCCCCUCCUUCUGCUCCACAUUUCCUCUUAUGUCAACUUUGCAAUUGUGGUGGUCAUUCUGCGCCUUUCUGUCCAUCCAAUUCUUCUGCGAAAUCCCGAUGUCAGAUUUGUGGCAGGUUUAAUCACAGUACAUGGUUCUGUUUUUACAAUGACAAGGGUCCCAACUAUAUUGGUGCUGGCAAUGGUUCUUAUCCACAACCAGGGCAUCCAUAUUCUCAGCAGGCUUCUUAUUCACAGCAAAGGUAUUCAUCACAGUUUCCUGCUCCACAACAAAUUCAGUCUCAGGCACCAAUGCAGGCUUUUCAUACUAUGGUGCCACAACCCUCUCCUCCAGCAGCAUCUUCAUCUCCUUCCCAAGUUUGGAUCACUGAUUCCGGGGCAACGAAUCAUAUGACUGCUGAUCUUUCCAAUCUGUCUCUAGCUUCACCCUAUCCCACUAAUGAAGUCAUACAAACUGCCAAUGGUGAAGGUUUGCCUGUAUCUCACAUUGGUAGUACUGUUAUAAAACCAUCUCUCCAUCCUAUAAAAUUGAAUUCUGUGUUAUAUGUUCCCAAAUUAACACAGAAUACCAUAUUAAACUACAGAAAUAUAGUGAGAAGAAGAAGAGAUUCAAGCAAUUUAGAGAGAGAAGUAGAAACCAAACACUUCCAGUAUAUUACUUUUCUUACCUUCUAAGCAAUCCCACAUACAUCAGUAUUUAUACCCUUUUCAAUAUUCUAAACAAACUACCUAACUAACUUUCUAACUAACUCUCUAAUCUGCAUACAAGUGGCAGUAUCUCAGCCACACAAUAUAUGUCUAUCACAAUCAAGUCUGUUGAUCCUGGAGAGGGCAAGCUCAGGACAAACUGGGAAGGUCUAUACAUGGUCAUUAGAGUAAGAGGCAAAAGAACAUACAACCUUACGCAGAUAGAUGGAACUCCAAUCCUUAAGAGGUUGAAUAUCGCCAAACUCCGAUGAUAUUAUUAAGAACCUCAAUGUCGUUCGUCUACCCGUAGAUAUGGAGAAACAACUCCAAAGCUUGCCUAAAUCAAGGCACAUUUGCCAAAGAUGAACCAUAAGGUAGACAGACAUUGUUUCAUCUUUCUUUAGAACUACACUAAUGAUUUGAUUUAGGUCUGCUGAAAUUAUGGUCGAGCGAAUUAUGGCUUGAGCGUACUCCACAUUUUGUAGUCUGCUUGAAUCAACAGUAACCGGUCGACGGUUCUAUAAUGGCCAGAGAUAAUAGGAGAUUGAAUUGACUGCCCAAUUUCGGUUGUCGUUGUGGCAGAUAAGUAUAUCUUUGGUAGGCACUGAGGCUGGCAUUACUAAAGCACUCGUUGGAAUACCAGAUGGAAUGAUUAUAGCGGAAUGAGGUCUAGUCAUUAUCACCUCAUUUAGAUUCGGAGUUGUGGCAUGCUGCUGUUACCAUUCCACUACCGCGCGGACUAUAUGUUUAGGAAUUUGAACGAAUCGCUCGCCGUCAUUUUCCGGCAUCUUUCUCUUCGUCUCCUCUCACCACUUCCAGUGGUUGCUGUUAUUGCUGUUGUGAUCGCAGCAUUGUUGGAGGUGGUUGUAACAACGAUGUGGUGGUUAUGACAAUGGUGGUGUGAGGUUAGUGGUUGUAGUGGUAGGUGGUGUUCGUCACCUUGAUCUCCAAAGAAAAAAAAUAUGUAGAAUGAUAAAUUAUGUCAUUUAAAAAAAAUUAAUGAAGGGUAUUAUAGGAAUUAAAACUAUUCAUUAAAGAUUUAGUUCCGUUUUUUACAAAAUUAUCUUUUAAAAGCAAUCUACAUGUUACUUUUAAAAACAAUCAACAAACUGUUUUUAAAAGCUAUUGUCUAGAAGUCAUUCUUUUAAAAUUAAUUAUGAUAUUUUAUUUUUAUCUAACAUUUUUUAUUUCUUAACUUUAAAGUGAAACAGUUUUUUAUAUAAAAAUAAUAAUAAUACCAAAAGGGCGCCUAAAACACUUAUUCUUUAGACAUUUGUAUGUAUUACCCACAUUGUUUACGUGUACUACAAUUAUACCCAUAAAGGAUCAUCAAUUCAUAAUGAGUAAUGUUAUGGAAACCAAAUUUUUUAAAUCAAAUUGCAAAUCAAAUGAUGUGUCACAAUAAGAAACAAGUAUAUUAAUCGACACUUAAUUAACAAUCCAAUCAUCUACAAUCAUGUCAUUUAGUUUGCAAAUUUAAUUUAAAAAAUUUGGUCUCUCUAGCAUUACUCAUUCAUAAUUGUUCAUUGAAUCGAUCAGGAGCAUCCAGCAGGGGCAAAUCCCACCUUUCACCUAGCAACGUCAUACACCAUAUGCAACCUCUUCUGCUAAACAUUCCCAAUAAUCCCAAUGUCUCUAUCAUCCCUGUUUCCUACAAAAGCCAAGCAAAACUGCGAAGCACUCUGUUGAAAAAAUAUGCCGGCAACGUCCACGUCCACCGUAACCCCGCCGCCAAACACAAAUCCUAUCUUUGGAUACGACACCGUUUGUGUUAAGAAUCCCACAUCGGUGGGGAUAAAGUCCCACAAUGGGUUUAAAUAUGAUUACCCAGCUCUGAUACCAUGUUGGAUUUUUGGAUCGCCCGGCCUGCCCCAUUCUAACGACACCGAUAUUAUCCCCAACUUUGCCAUCUGCCCAAUCCGUCAGGUGUGGGGUUUUACCACAAAAGGCCUUGGUAUUAGUUAGAGUUGGGUAAUCAAAUUUAAACCCAUUGUGGGACUUUAUCCCUAUGCCACUGAUGUGGGAUUCUUAACACUAAUGUGAAAAUUAACUCGACACACAAAUUAAACCCUAUUAAACAUGUAAUUGUAGUAUUAAGCAAGUAGGGAUCGUUCUAAACCGGAGAUUAACUAGGGCUGCUAAUCAAUGCAAAUAAGACUAAAAAACACUAAACUAGACUCUAUAAACUCAAAACUGACUUAAAUAACUUAAAACAACAACAAACAACUAAAUAGACUCAAACUAGACACUAGGAAUGACUUUGGACAAAAAUUGAUUUUAGCUUGACUCAAAACACUUAAAAACACAAACUAAGACAAAUUCUAACUAAUUUGACACACUAAAGUAAAGGGGAUUGGGUUUUGGACGAAUUUUAAGUAAAACAAGUAAAUUAAGGACUUAAACAAAGUUGAACGAAUUUGGUGAAUUAAAUGGAUAAUGGGCUAGCUAGAGGGUCAUUCUCCACACAUGACACACUUGGCAUACAAAUCAAUCUCCAGUAGCUUUUUCGAUAAACCAUGAAUGACAAUGCCCCAGAUUAACCGUGCCAUCACUAAUUAACCCUCAGAUUUUCCUUAAGUUAUUGAAUUGGAUGGGAUACCCAUCAUCAACCCAAAUCAUUCUUCAAUAGUCCCCUACAUGCACAUCAUCAUAGAGAUACAAUCAAAGAUCAUUAAGUUCCAUGAAAAUCAUAAACAUUGACAAAACAUUCGUAACUAUGACAUCAUAAUACUCAUGCUAGGAAUUUAACUUAACACGAUCGUGACCAGCGACCUUCACUACUUGUGAAUAUAAGUUUGUAACGAUUAUGUGAAACUCCCUUAUAUUCUAGCAUCAAAUUCAUGCAUGCAAACUAAGUAUGCAUCCUUAAUCCACAAACAAGAAUAAGUUUUGAAUAAAACAGUUAAGCAAAUUGCAUUCUCAAUAUAUGAAAUCACAACUGGAAGUAAUCAAUUCAUAUUGCAAAUAUAUUCAUGGCUUUGAAUUUUCCCCUAACUAAAAUGAGUUUAGCUCCUCAUGUUCUUAAAACAAAGAUAAAUAAACUUAAACAUUGAAAACAAAAGAUAGAUUACACCUAAAAAUGAUCCAGCAAUCCAAACUUGAAUAGCAAGCACUCCAAGGGUCCUUCUUCUUCUUCGUUGCUGCAACACAAGGUAUGGGUGAAGGUUUUAGUGAUGCAUUGUGGUGGUGGAGGGAUGUAGGUGAUUUCUGGUGAAGGAUGGAUGGUGUUUUUGCGGCUGAAAUGGGUGUAGAAUUAUAUGGGGGGUGGUGGUGAAUUUUGGCUGAAAAGAUGUAUAUAUAGGUUCGGCCAAACCCUAGGGUAAUCAGUUUAGGUUUUGAACUUAGCAGAAAUCAAGGAUUAGGGCCUAAAGGUGCGGCAAAGGUGUUUAAAUCCACUAAGAACAAGGUUUGGCCCAAUUAAUUUCUAAAAAGGAUUUGCAUAACCCAAAUCCAUAAGGAAUAAGGCUACCAAAAUCAGAAUCCAAAGGGAAUUGGGUGAGGAAAGGCACGACAAGAAUUGGAGGGAAUGGGAAUUGCUUGCAAGGCAAGGCAAAAGCCUUCUAGAAGGGAAUAGGCGCCACUUUUGUAGGGUUUCUAGAAACAAUGUGUUUUGUGACAGAAAUUAGGAAUUCUAGAAGUAGAUAUUUAGGUCCCCUUGCAGCUAGAAUUAAGGCAUGAUAAGAUUAGGAUAGGAUAAGAUAUAAGGUUAGUUUGGAUAAGAUAAGGUUGGAUAAGGUUUUGAAUAAUGUUUCUUCUUUUUAGUUGAUUUCUUAUCUUCUUUGUCUUGAAUUUAAUUUCUUCAUCUCCUUAUCAGAUUCCUAGCCUUUUGAACUCCAAAAACGUCCAUCCACCUUGGCCCAUACAUAUGUUAUCCAUUUAGUGCCUAAAACUGCUCUAAAACGCUCUAAAAUGCACUUUCUUGCCAACUUUGUCAUUUGAACCUAUAAACACACGAAAAUAGCUUAAAUCACUAUAAUAAACACAAACUAACUACGAAAAUGCAAGAAAACAAGCUAACUAAGUUGCAUAAAUAUGCUCCUAUCACACUCCCCCUCACGUGUAACCUCAUUUAGUGGUUCACACGUGGAUAUCCACAUCGGUAAUCGAAACUCAGAGGUCGGCUCACGUUGGGCCCACUUGUUUUCAAUGGAACUCAGCGGUCGUCUCUAUAUUAAGAGUUCAUACUUGUUUCCUUAUAGGUGACAAGCUUAUUAGCUUGCACGACCCCGAACCUUGGCUCUAAUACCAUGUUGGAUUUUUGGAUCGUCGGGCCCGCCCCAUUCUAACGACACCGAUACUGUCCCCAACUUUACCACUUGCCCAAUCCGUCAGGUGUGAGGUUUUACCAUAAAAGGCCUCGGUAUUAGUUAGAGUGGGGUAAUCCUAUUUAAACCCCUUAGUUUCUUUUGCACCCACCGAUGUGGGGCUUUAACAAGAGUGGGGUAAUCCUAUUUAAACCCCUUGGUUUCUUUUGCACCCACCAAUGUGAGACUUGUUAAAUGUCCCACAUCGGUGGGGAUAAAGUCUCAUAAUGGGUUUAAAUAUAAUUACUCAACUCUAACUAAUACCGAGGCCUUUUGUGGUAAAACCCCACACUUGACGGAUUGGGCAUGUGGUAAAGUUGGGGACAGUAUCGGUGUCGUUAGAGUGGGGCGGGCCCGAUGAUCCAAAAAUCCAACAUGGUAUCAGAGCCAAGGUUUGGGCCCGUGUAAGCCAAUGAGCUUGUCACCCAUAAGAAAACAAGUCUGAACUCUUAAUAUAGAAACGACCACUGAGUUCCAUUGAAAACAAGUGGGCCCAACGUGAGCUGGCCUUUGAGUUUCAAUUACCGAUGUAGAUCUCCACGUGUGAACCACUAAAUGAGGUUACACAUGAAAGAGACUGUUAAAUGUCCCACAUCAGUGGGGAUAAAGUUCCACAAUGGAUUUAAAUAUGAUUACCAAACUCUAACUAAUACAGAGGCCUUUUGUGGUAAAACUCUACAUCUGACGGAUUGGGCAAGUGGUAAAGUUGGAGACAGUAUCAAUGUCGUUAGAGUGAGGCAAGCUCGGUGAUCCAAAAAUCUAACAUGGUAUAAGAGCCAAGGUUCGGGCCCGUGCAAGCUAAUGAGCUUGUGUACAAACCAAUAAGCUUGUCACCUAGAAGGAAACAAGUCUGAACUCUUAAUAUAGAGACGACCACUGAGUUCCAUUGAAAACAAGUAGGCCCAACGUGAGCCGAUCUUUGAGUUUCAAUUGCCGAUGUGUGGAUUUCUACGUGUGAAUCACUAAAUGGGGUUACACAUGAGGAAGAGUGUUAAAGUCCCAUAUUGAUGGGUGCAAAAGAAACCAAGGGGUUUAAAUAGGAUUACCCCACUCUUGUUAAACUCCCACAUCAGUGGGUGCAAAAGAAACCAAUGGGUUUAAAUAAGAUUACCCCACUCUAACUAAUACCGAAGCUUUUGUGGUAAAACCCCACACCUGACGGAUUGGGCAGGUGGUAAAGUUGGGGAUAAUAUCGGUGUCGUUAGAUUGGGGUGGGCCGGACGAUCCAAAAAUCCAACAUGGUAUCAGAGCCAAGGUUCGGGCCCGUGCAAGCCAAUGAGCUUGUGUGCAAGCCAACGAGCUUGUCACCUAUAAAGAAACAAGUUUGAACUCUUAAUAUAGAGACGACCACUGAGUUCCAUUGAAAACAAGUAGGCCCAACGUGAGCUGGCCUCUGAGUUUCAAUUGCCAAUGUGUAGAUCUCCACUUAUGAACCACUAAAUGGGGUUACACGUGAAAGGGAAUGUUAAAGUCCUACAUCGGUGGGUGCAAAAAAAACCAAGGGGAAAGUUAAAAUCCUAUACCUGACGGAUUUGACAUGUGGUAAAGUUAGGGACAAUAUCGGUGUCGUUAGAGUGGGAUUGGCCCGACAAUGGAAAAUUCCAACAUGGUAUCAUAGUUGGGUAAUCAUAUUUAAACCCAUUGUGGGACUUUAUCCCCAUCGAUGUGAGAUUCUUAACACUCCCCCUCACGUGUAACCUCAUUUAGUGGUUCACAUAUGGAGAUCCACAUCGGUAAUUGAAACUCAGAGGUCGGCUCACGUUGGGCCCACUUGUUUUCAAUGGAACUCAGAUGUCGUCUCUAUAUUAAGAGUUCAGACUUGUUUCCUUCUGGGUGACAAGCUUAUUGGCUUGCACACAAGCUCAUUGGCUUGCACAGGUCUGAACCUUGGCUCUGAUACCAUGUUGGAUUUUUGGAUCGUCGGGCUUGCCCUACUCUAACGACAAUAUUGUCCCCAACUUUACCACCUACCCAAUUUGUCAGCUGUGAGGUUUUACCAUAAAAGAUCUCGGCAUUAGUUAGAGUGGGGUAAUCCUAUUUAAACCCCUUCGUUUUUUUUGCACUCACUGAUAUGGGACUUUAACAAAAGUGGGAUAAUCCUAUUUAAACCCCUUGGUUUCUUUUGCACCCACCGAUGUGGGAUUUUAACAGUUUGGAAUUUGCUGAAAUCGUAACACGUUUCCAACAAGGUGGAAGUCAAGUUAACCGACGGGUACCUCUUCACUGGUGCCUGAAAUGAUCCGUGCAGUGUGACGUAUACCUUGGCCGGGAGGCGCAUAAUCACCAUCCCUAAGUCGAUAAUCGUUCUGAAAAUCUGAAGCUGAGAUAGAAAGUUGACGCCCGCCGAAGUUGAUGCCAACCAGUCUGAGGCAGUAAAACCCUGGACCUUGAGAUAAUGUAGUCAGCGGUGUGAAUUUGAUAGUCUUUCUCGAACCUUUGCCACCAGCUUUGCCGAAGCUAAGGUAACCGGUAGAGCUUGAAGUGGAUGGGAGAUAGUAGGGGAAUAACCAGUUUGUUCGACUAUGGAGAUAUUGCUUCGACCGAGGCCGAGUAAACCGGUGAUGCCCUUAAAUAAUCCUUGGUUGUUCUGGCAGCAGCCAAAGACAAAACCAUUAAAAACGUCCGUUGAAGUCAAAGUUAGCUUCUUUUUGGCCCAGAAGCAGACUGUGAAUGAGCUGUCUCUAAGCCGUUCGCUGUAAACACAGGUGGAGGCGGAACAACUGCUAGUAACAUUGGAGGCUGCGAGCUGAGAACAUGCGAUAGAGUUGCAUGAGAUGUUGGAGUAAGAGGUAGAGAGAGAGGGGUCGAAGAUGAGUCUCUCUGUGGGUAACAAGACCGAACACAAGGUUGGCAUUGUGUCCAAAUGAUGUUGUUGCCGGUGUCGAAUAAGUGCACGAGUUCCUUCUUAGGCGAACCCAAGCCGAUGCUAACCAUGUAGUCACCAUAGCCCACUAAGGUUGCCUUGUAAAAGUAUGAGUAUGAUUCAUACAAGUCUUGGGAUAAUUGAUAUUAUAAAGAAGUCUCAAUCAUGUUGACAAGAGUUAAUCCAAUCAUAUUGGUAUAUUGAAGUGUUUGGGCCCAAAAUAGCAGUUUGGGCCGAGGGAAGAAUCACUCUCGGCCCGGGAAGCCGUACGGCGAAAGGGUCAUGGAGCGUUCAGCUCAUGGGCUUCCAAGCCUAGGUCGGUUAAAUCAGAAUGCAAGUCGAGUCCUAGUACAAUAGGGACUCUCGACGAGAUCAAUAAACUAGAAAGUGAAUCCGGCUCAGUUAAGGACUAGAUUCGUAGUCCUAGCGGAGAUAGGACUGAUCGAGGUAAUGUUAAUCCGGAGAAGGAAACCUAGUUCGAAUAGAAUUGGAACUCGGGCUCGGUGUUCUGCUACUAUAAAUACAAGACAUUCAGCAACGGAAAAGGCCCCCUGCAAAUCAAUACAAAAUUGCCCUGCGCAAAUUCUCACAACUUGUGAUUUUUCUUUUUCCUUUUUCGCUGACACAUCUUCCGUUGGCAUCAACAGCACUGUGGAAGCAACCGGUGAUAUCUUAAGUCGGCAUAGAUAGCUCUGUCACCGUAGAGUUAAUCGGUCUCGCAGUAUCUUCCGUUGGCAUCAACAGCACUGCGGCGAGAACGGUUGAUUACCUAUCCAAGUCUCGGUCGAGAAGGGUUUUCUAAAUCCUUAUUGGUCGAGGUCAUCUCAUCAGCCUUCUCGGCGAAGUGAGGUGUUACAGUUAUUACAUUCGGCACAUUGAAAGCCGAAUUUAAUAUUGAACUUCGUAAGAAUAGUAACCUUGUCUUCAGGUUCGAGAGCCCAAGAGGCCGAGACGUGUUCCUUUCUCGGCCGCAAUCGCAAGACGUAGAAGUCAGUAGCGCGACCCAACGCAACAUCAACAAAUUUACUCCUCGGCCGAUCUCGGCCGACGAGUUGGCACGCCCCGCAUUCACCGAAUGACGUAGUUAGCUCAUUAAUUACUCGGCCUGCGCGCCACGUAGGCUCUGUAGUUUUUAGGGUCAACAUUUUGGCACGCCUAGUGGGACCCAGUGCUAAACUACGAAGUUCAUGCCAAUUGAAACACGAUCGGUAAAAAAGAAAACAGCUAUGGGAAAGUCGACAGCCGAUUUGCCGAGUCAGAGCAUAGGACAGAGUGUGCCACAGGCGCAGAAUCCCCUUAGCGCUGCGACACCUGAGUCCACGAGCGCGACUCGCAGAGAGAGAGAAGUUAAUCUCGGCGGUCAACUCCGUGGCUUAGAGAUCCCUAACAGAAACAUAUGCGUUCUCAAUGAAGGGUUAAUAGAGGAGUGUGACGAGGAUGGUGGUGAAGGAUCUGACCCACCAACGAGGUCGUUUCUCCGAAAGCGACUGGACGAGCAGUCUCGGUCAGUCGAGGAGACGUUCAGUCGAGGCAUUGACAAGCUGCAUGACGCGAUACUCAGUGCCAAUGAUCGACAAACCAAGCUGCUCGAAAUGCUGGUUAGUAAAGUUGGUGGCAGUAGGCCUUUCGAGCUUCUCCAACAUUGUCCACCAGGAAACAAUCCGGUACCGAUUGUACCGGUCGAGCCUAUUCCUGCCCAACUCAAACCAAUCAACUUGGAAAAAGGAGGAGGGUCGAAUAGUAGGUCAGACGGAACCAACCAUAGGAUCGAAGCAACACCUGUUGAUAUGACCGAAGUUCAGCGGAUGAUCGACUCGGCCAUGAAGAAAGGGCCAAAGUUUCCUAAGUUUAUUCAUCCGUACCCAGCUUACGUGGAAACGUUUGGGUACCCGAAGGGUUUUAAGAUCCCAGAUUUUAGUCUUUUUGCCGGUGAAUCGUCCUUAUCUUCGUUGGAGCACGUGGCUCGUUUCACCGCGCAAUGCGGAGAUGUCAAUAGUGACUUUCAUAAGUUACGGCUGUUCAACUUCUCAUUGACCGGCUCAGCAUUUGCUUGGUACAUUAAUCUACCCCCUAAUUCCGUCCAGAACUGGGAAGAGUUGGUCGAGAAAUUCCACGAGCAGUUUUAUCGACCAGGGAUGGAGAUGUCAGUUUCUUCGUUAGCAAGGAUGGCUCAGGCAUCUGAUGAAUCACCAAUGGAUUAUCUUACUAGGUUCAAAUCAGCCAGGAAUUGGUGCCGAGUACCUUUACCCGAAGUCGAAUUUGUCAGGCUUGCUUUGAACGGCCUCGACGUCGAAUACAAAAAGAAAUUCCUGGGGGUAAAUUUUCGUGAUAUGUACGAAUUAGCCUAACAUGUCGAGCAAUACGAUUAUUUGCUCCGUGAGGAAAAGAUUUCGAAGACUCCAACUCGGGGGACGAUUUACAAGAAUCCUACUGUUAAUUAUGCAUCAACCGAGGAUGAAUGCGUUAGUGUGGAUGCGGCUGAGAUAGUGAUAGAUAAGCCAUAUGUUUGCAAGGCAUUGACUCAGGUUGAUUCUAGAGAAGCCAAAAGUCGCUCGGCCACUGAAGGAACAUUGAAACCGUCAAAGGUUUAUACUUUUGAUAUUACCAAGGCUGACGCAAUUUUUGACCAACUGUUAUCAGCAAGAAUCAUCAAGCUUCGGCCUGGUCAUAACAUUCCUAAGGCUGAAGAACUUAAAGGAAAGGUGUAUUGCAAAUACCAUAAUUCGAGCAAACAUACGACAAACAAUUGCGUUGUAUUUCGCGAUAACGUCCAAAGCUGGAUUGAUAAUGGCAAACUGAAGUUUCCUGAGAAGAAGAUGAGUGUCAACUGAUCCGUUCCCCACGGCAACAGUAAAUAUGGUCGACGCGUACCUACCCAAGGACAAAGGGAAAUGCAAGGCCGAAGUGGUUGAGACGCAACGCCCGCGGAGUCAGAAUUAUCAGCCACGGUUCAUGGCCGAUUUUCGUUCAAACAAGCCACCUACGGCUUUAACGGGGCCUGCUAUUGUCAAACCUAUGAUGGAUUAUAGCACCGAUAAAGAUAGUGGGGCGGCGGUUUUGUGCGGGAAAUGUAGAGCGAAGGUCGACAGUGAACCAGAGGAGAAGCCCUCUUCGCAACUUGUGGCCACAACUCGGCCAAAGGUAGCCAAUGAAGGCCAACAUCAUGGAGUUUUUGAGAGGCUCGGUCCUAAAGUACGGAUGGAAGAGACACCCCCGGUCAGGCGGCUCCUCGAUUUUGAUGCUUCAUUCUAUGACGAUGAUUACUAUAAGCGUAAUUCUAGCAGUUCAGAAUCAUCGCGGAGCCAAAAGACCUUCAAGCCUCCCGAGCCUAGAGAUCAACGUUGGUAUACAUACCAUUCUUCGAAGGGCGUUUACACCGCGUUGUCCAAAUCUCAGAAACGCCGGCAUCAACGGAUAGAUUGCAUGGCUUGCCGACGAGCAGCCCAGGAAACUUCGGCCCCUAAGUGGCGGCCAAAUGACACAGCUGCCACUGAUGAUGAGCGACCACCUCCAGCAAUUAUGACAGAGUUGGCUCAGGGGAAACGGCUGGUCGAUCAAGAUGUCGAGACCAUGUUUGAAGAAGCUGAUAAACGGAUCAAACUUCUCAUUCGACCAGGGGAGAUGAAGGCACGCCUUGAACAUUUCAGGCAAGAGGCGGAAAGCAAAUUAUACCCACCGGCUAUACCAGAACCUUUGGUCAAAAUUCGAUGGAAUUUGCAUCCCCCGUUCCUUGGGGAGUCUUUGGAGUAUAUGCGAGAAUUUCAUAAGAAACAUUCGGCCAACGAUCUGUAUGGUUUGCCGAAGGCAUGCCAGGACACCAUUGAUCUGGUCCUGACUUGUCCAGAUGCUGAGCGGAUCAUCCAGAAGACCUCAGAUCCAGGAUUGAAAGCAAGGUUCCAGCACAUCCGAGAAGCUCGUGUCCUUGGAUUUGAAGUCGACCCAUACACCGAUAUCAAUGCAGCCGACCUUCCUUUCUCGCUGGAAGACCUUCAAUAUUUGCGAUAUCACUUUGAAGUAUUUUCAGCAGUUUCUCUCUUCGGCCUUACGACCGAUGAAAUCGCACGUAUUGCCCGUCUGGAUGCUUAUCUCGACACUAGGGAUGCUCGGCUACACUACCAGGAGCAGGUUCAGGUCUUGAUCCCAAGUACAUUGUCAAUCUCACCUGAGGCGGUCACGCAGAACCAACCUGUCGCCGAAGCAGCUCCGCCGGUUGACGUCGUUGAAGAAGGGACAGAAGAGUCUCGUUGUCCGACUUUGACAACAACUGAAUCCGUAGUCGCCGACCAACCAAAUGAGGAGGGUCUUGACCAGAUGGGCCCGUCAGUCCUGGAUAAUAUGGAAAUCAGUAUGGUCCACGUGUUACCUGCCGAUUUUCAAUCAAGCACGGCUCAACCAAAUUUCCUCGAUGGAGAUGUGGUUGCCGAAGAACCCGGCCAUAUUGAUUUUGUGUCGAUUGCUGAAGGUGAGUCAGCAACGAAAGAUGAUGGUUUAAAGGCUGCCUUGGCCGAAUUGUUCCCUCGUUCAUCGUCGGCCAAGCUUCACCAUUUAAAGCCAUUGUAUGUGACGGCCCACAUUGAGGGAUAUCCAGUUUCUAAAGUUUUUGUCGACUGUGGGGCUACCGUCAAUAUCAUGCCUCUGAACAUCAUGAAGGCCUUACGCCGUUCGAAUGACGAGCUUAUUCCGUUAGGAAUCACAAUGAGUAGUUUCGUCGGCGACAAAUCCCAAACCAAAUGUGUACUUCCGUUAACUGUGAAUAUUGCUGGUCGCACCCACAUGACCGCCUUUUUCGUGGUUGAUUCCAAAACCGAGUAUAAUGCAUUGCUCGGCCGAGAUUGGAUCCAUCAAACCAGUUGUAUUCCUUCGUCGUUGUAUCAAGUGCUUAUCUUUUGGGACGGAAAAUCGGUCAUUGUUCACCCGGCCGAUAGCCAGCCCUUCGAAGCGAACAUGAUCCAAGCCCGGUAUUAUGAUGACCACGUCGGCUAUAUUACGUUGCAAGGCUUCAAUGAAGACGGACGGCCGACUCGGAUUUCAGUUCAGAAAGCUAUCGAGGUUGGCGCCGAGACUGUCCACCAGGAUUCGGCGAGACUCGGAUUGGCCAAUUUUCUCCCCGAGUCUGAUGUCUGACACAGAUCAGGACAAACGUAGGGCCGCGGUUUCAUCUACGAUGGAACGACUGCUGGCCCAUUGGUAUGCUAUAUCUCGGCAACCGAAUUCCGGCGUUAACCUCGUUGAUUUCCUUACCGAAGAGGAUCAUGGUCCUGCCUUAUCUUUUGAUAAAGUCCGAGCCGCCCCGGCCGAGCUCGAGGAUCAUCGGCCCCAAGUUAAGGACCCCCUAGAAGAAAUUAAUGUUGGGACGGCCGAUGACCCACGACCUUUGUUUGUUAGCGCUUUACUUCCUCAACAAAUGAAUGACGAGUUGCGUGCCUUGCUUACGGAAUUCAAAGAUUGUUUUGCUUGGAGUUAUCAUGAAAUGCCCGGCUUAGAUCGUGCUCUGGUCGAGCAUGAACUACGUAUUAAGCCCGGAUUUAAGCCUUUCCGUCAGCCACCUCGCCGAUUCUUGACCGAAGUACAACUCAGUGUCAAGGACGAACUAGUUCGGCUUUUGAAAGCCGGAUUCAUUCGGACAGCUCGAUAUGUCGAAUGGUUGGCGAAUAUUGUUCCUGUAUUAAAGAAAAAUGGUGCACUGCGCAUCUACACCGAUUUUCGAAAUCUGAAUCUGGCAACUCCCAAAGAUGAGUAUACAAUGCCGAUUUCAGAUCUGUUAAUCGAUGCUGCGGCAAAUCAUGCGAUCUUAUCCUUUAUGGAUGGACAUGCCGGGUACAACCAAAUAUUUAUUGCCAAAGCCGAUGUGCACAAAACUGCUUUCCGUUGCCCGGGGGCACUCGGCACUUACGAAUGGGUUGUCAUGCCAUUCGGCCUCAAGAAUGCCGGCGCCACGUACCAACGGGCGAUGAACACCAUCUUCCAUGAUUUAAUUGGCACCAUCGUCGAAGUUUAUAUCGACGAUGUUGUCGUCAAAUCUAAACGUCGACAGACACAUCUGGACGAUCUCCGACAGGCUUUCCUCCGCAUGCGUCAGCACAACCUCAAGAUGAAUCCUGCCAAGUGUGCCUUCGGUGUAUCGGCCGGGAAUUUUCUUGGUUUCCUCGUACAUCAUCGUGGGAUUGAAGUCGAUGAGAAUAAGGCACGCGCAAUCAUCACUGCCCCACCCCCAACAACGAAGAAACAAUUACAGUCCUUACUCUGCCAGAUCAAUUUUUUACGCCGAUUUAUUGCUAAUUCGGCAGGUAAAAUGAAAGCAUUUUCCAAACUUUUGAAACUCAAGGACUCAGAUAAGUUCGUGUGGAAUGAGGAGCAUCAGGCGGCGUUUACACAGAUCAAGGUUUCUCUUACAAACCCACCUGUCCUGGUCCCUCCUCAGCGCGGUAAGCCUCUCAAGCUAUACAUUUCGGCGGCCGAAGAGUCCAUUGGUUGCCUCCUCGCGCAAGACAACGAUGCCGGACGGGAACAGGCUAUCUUCUACCUCAGCCGUAAUCUGAGUCAUCCGAAGAUCAAUUAUUCCGCCGUUGAGAAGCUCUGUCUCGCCGUGUUCUUCGCUGCAUCCAAACUUCGGCAUUACAUGCUCCCGUCGGUCACCCAAGUCAUUGCCCAGACCGACGUUAUCCGGUACAUGCUUACCCGGCCAAUUAUGAAGGGCCGAAUUGGGAAAUGGACGAUGGCGUUGUCCGAGUUCAGUUUGCAAUACGUGCCGUAAAAAGCUGUGAAAGGACAGGCGUUGGCCGAUUUCCUUGCCCAGCACCCUUCGCCUUACGGUUUCGAGGGUGCUGACGUCGAAAUCGGCAUGGUGGUGACCCGCGACAACUAUUGGACGAUGUAUUUCGAUGGUUCCAGUACUUCGUCCUCGGCCGGCGCAGGCAUCGUCAUUCAAUCUUCUCACAACGAUCGUUGGUAUUUUUCGCUCAAAUUGGAUUUCGACUGCACCAAUAACCAGGCCGAAUACGAGGCUCUGGUCAUUGGUCUGGGCCUCCUUCUUGACCUACACGCCACUCGUGUCCUCGUCAUCGGGGAUUCUGAACUAGUGAUUAACCAAAUUAAUGGGUCUUUUCGCUGCAUGAGUUGUACUCUGGCGCCUUACCACAUGGUCGCCAGCUAUUUGGCCGAGUCCUUUGACGGUAUUACAUUCGAGCAUGUUUCUCGGGUUCAUAAUACCGACGCAGACGAGUUGGCUCAAAUCGCCUCCGGUGCACAACUCCUGGGGGGCAAGCUAGGCCGGGAGAUACCAAUAUUACGACAACUAUACCCGGCCUUGGUUAAUCAGCAAAUCCUCCGUCGAGACAAUGUGAUACGCACCAGGGUCAUGUCCCUGCCUUCGUUGUUAGAUCGGCAGGACUCUAUAGAAAUUUGCGCGGUCGAGGCAGUACCAGAUGAUUGGAGAAAACCCAUUAUGCAUUACCUUGACAAGCCUAACGGAAAACAUAGUCGCAGGACACGGGUUCACGCCACGAACUAUGUCACGUACCAGAACGAGUUGUACCGAAAGGGCGAAGAUGGUUUGUUAUUGCUAUGCCUCGGCCCCCAAAAGAGUGCUCGGGCGAUCGCAGAGGUUCAUGAAGGGGUAUGCGGAGCUCACCAGUCUGGACGGAAAAUGCGAUGGUUACUCCGACGACACGGCUAUUUUUGGCCGAAAAUACUGAAAGAUUGUAUCGAGUUUGCACGAGGAUGCGUGCAGUGCCAAAUCCAUGGGCCUAUACAAAGGGCCCCGGCCGAAUCACUACAUUCGGUCAUUAAGCCGUGGCCGUUUAGAGGAUGGGCCAUGGACGUAAUCGGCAAAAUCACGCCGACUUCUGGAGCUGCUAAGCAUGCAUGGAUAAUAGUCGCAACUGAUUACUUUACUAAGUGGGUCGAAGCAAAAUCAUAUGCCGAGUUAACAUCUAAAGAAGUUUGCGAUUUCGUGGAGGAACACAUUGUGACCCGGUUCGGUGUGCCAGAAACGAUCAUAACCGACAAUGGAACAAUCUUCACAAACGAAAGGUUUAAGGAAUACACGGCCAAUUUGAAAAUUCGGCUGGAGCAGUCCACACCGUAUUAUCCACAGGCGAAUGGGCAGGCCGAGGCAAGUAAUAAAGUGUUGAUCGGCAUCCUCGAAAAAAUAAUAAAAGAAAGGCCUGGGAUGUGGCAUUUGAAGUUGAACGAGGCAUUAUGGGCAUACCGAACGUCGCCCCGGUCGGCGACUGCGACAACCCCAUACGCAUUAACCUACGGACACGAUGCAAUGCUACCAGUCGAGUUGUGCAUAAAUUCGUUGCGAUUAAUUGAACAAAGUAGUUUGUUUAGCGCCGAAUAUAGUCAGUCCAUGAGACAGGAAUUAGAAGAUUUGGAAGAAGCGCGACUUGACGCUUAUAACUUACUAGUGGCGAAAAAACAGAUUGCCGAGCGAGCCUAUAAUCAAAAGGUGCGACAGAAAACAUUCGGCGAGGGUGAGUUAGUGUGGCAAACGGUGUUGCCCGUAGGAAUGAAAGAUCCUAGGUUCGGCAAGUGGUCGCCGAAUUGGGAAGGGCCGUUUAUUGUGCAUAAAGUAUACGGAAAUGGGGCGUAUCAUCUUAAAGACCGAACCGAUGCGGUCCACAGAUUACCGAUUAAUGGGAAGUUUUUUAAGAAAUAUUAUCCGGUCACAUGGGAAAUGCGGGAAUAGUAAACCAGUCCAUUAAAAUUGAUAAGUAUUUACAAAAUGAGUAGGUCGGUUGGUUUACAUUCAGAUACAUUUAAGGAGAAGAGGGAAGAAGAGUGCUGAGCAGAGCCUUCAACUCCAACCACCGCACGUCGGCCAUGAGGACUUCGGCUUGCCGAUUCUUUUUGUCCAGCUUCAGCCGCUCGACCCGUUUUUUGGCUGCUGCAUACUCGGUUAGGCGAUCCUUCCCGCCUGACUCGAAGUCUCUAGCAAGCUCGGAAGCAAUGGCCGACCGACGUUUUGCUAGUUCGGCCAUCUGACGGUCGAGCUCGGCUAACGCGUCUCCUUUUGCCCGUAGAUCGUCAAUCUUCGGACGGAGGGUGUCUUGAACGGCCGUGGCGGCUUGCAGGUCUUGUUCGGCCUUUAGAGCGGUUUGGAAGAUACUAAAUGUCUCCCGAACGCGCUCCAAGGCAGACGAUGCCCGAACAAUGACAUCUCCGCUCAGGCGACCGUCGGCUCCAAGGUCGUUCAGACACACGCCGAGCAGAUCAAGACCGUUGCGCUCAAGUACUUGUGAUGAUGAGAGCGACAUGACUUCUCGCAGCUGGGUUAGGGCGCUGGGAUCGGCAGCUUCGGUCGUAGCGGCCGAAGGACCAGACUCUGCAGUGGUACUGGAGAGGAGGGCUUUGAAUUCGACCUCACAGGAAGCCUGCACAUACAAAUUAGGUUAAGUUUAAAAGAAGUCAUGACAGAAGUAGCAAGAAGGUUUAGUUUUUUUUAACCUGCCGAGAGGAGACCUCGGCCAUGUCUCCAGGAUCGUUGGUCGAACCUAAAGAACUCAAUGGCCGAGCCCAGUGUUUUAGGUUGCUUCUCGGUUCACGCGGCCGAUGGAGGUUAUCUACGUUUGAUGGCCACUGAGGCGGCCACGAAAUAUAGAUAACGCCCUUCGGCGCAUAGAAUUCUCGGUGAAAAGAAUGUACAGGCACCUGACAUUUAUUAUUUUCCUCGUUUAGAAUUCUAAAGAAAAAAAGCAAUCAAGGAAAGAUGGUCGAAGGUGCUUACAAAGGCUGAGGUAACCUCCUGUGGAGGAAUGUGGAAGCCCUGGUCUUGAGGAUGAACAGGCGAUUCCGUCGUUGCCUCGGGUUCCUCGACCGGUCGUUUGCCACGGUCGGCUGUGGAAGGGCCGACUGGAACAGCUGCUUCAGAGGAGGCAGGGACGUUCUGGUCCUGAGAGGGAGCGAGAGGUUCGGCCACCGAGGUCGGUUCCUCGACCGGGCGCUUGCCACGAUCAGCCGUGGAGGGGCCGGCUCGAACCGCCGUCUCAGACACUAGAGGAGGUGGUUGGCGAGGAUGAGGACGGUGUGUCGGCGGGACUUCGUCGCUCCCCUCGCUCUCUUCUAGAACGAAGACCGAGGGCUUUGGAUUUUUCGGGGAGGUUUCCUCGGCCGUAGAGACCACCUGUUGAGGGACAGGUGCCUUCUCGACGGAGGGAGGUACGACUUGUUUCUCGGCCAGGGGUUGGCCGGCGGCUGGAGAAGGGGAAGCACUGGGAGUCGUCGUCCCCGUAGUGUGCUUGGAGAUGACAUGGAUCUCUCGUGCACCUUUCUUCGCCAGUUGUUUGACCCGCUUGGCAGGCGGGGAAGGCUCGAUAGCCGGCUCGGUUUCUUGGCGAGGCCGUUUGACCAGCACGGCCCUACCAGCAGGUUUGUCUUUUUGGGCCAUGACCGAUUUUUUCCCGGCCAUGGCAGCGGCAACUACCUCUGUUUUUCUCAAGGGCCGACUACCUAAGAAGACAGGCAAUUCAGUAAGGCAAAUCAAUAUGCAAGGAAAAAAAAAAAAAAAAAAUUUGAACAGGUACCUUGAGUAUGAGGGGCCGAGGCCUUCUUAGGUCGGUCACCAAAGAGUCUGCUCAGCACAUCCUCGACCGGCGCACCAAAGAACUCCUGGGUGUAAUUUUCCUACCACUCACCGAAGGUGUCGGUGCAAUGGGUUUCUGGGGUGGCUGGUCGAAGGCGGAAUUUUUGGCAGCGCUCUUGGAACUCUCUCACGGCAGUUCUACACUCCUUCUCCGAGGAACGAGGUUCACGUCCACGGCUUAGGACUGUUCGGGAGGAGAGAAGGGGGACGGGGCAGCCCUGAAGGUAGCCGAACUGUCGGGCAAGGAAGUUCGGAUGAUAUACUUCCCAACCCGACCGUUUCCCGUCACAGCCGAGAGGGAGGUCGCGAGCAAGCACAAACGACCCCCAGGUCUGACGAAGAUCGGCGUCUUCCUCCGAGCUCCAUGUAGAGGUAGGCAGCCUGAUGGAGGAAGGAUAGUCUCGACGACGACAUAUCAGGAACUCGUCGUUGGAGAAGUCGUCGAGAGCGAAGAGGUACCGAAAUACCUCUUCGGCUUGAUGGGGAGGUGUCGGUUGAGAGGCCAGUUGAGGUCCAAGCGCCUCUGUUGGUAAGAAGUCAGCUAUGGCCGGCCGAAGGGAGGUAAAGUAUACUUGCAACCAGAGUUGGAAGACCCAGAGAGGACCAUUCUGGUGUGGGUCGACCUUGUGGAGGGUCGCCUCGGCCAGGCAACGGAAAAGUUGGGCGAAAAUGUUGGAACUCAGUGCCAGGACGUGUCCACUAGCCAGGGCUUCGGCUACCGGCAUGUUCUCGACCAAACACUUGUUUGACUUGGUACAACAAAUGUAUUUGUUGUACCAAUAGAAGAGGAAGGCUUUAUGCUCUCCCUCUCACAGGUCAUCUUCUCCUCGGCCGGCGAAGUGAAGAUAGAGGGUGUUGUAAUUACAGAAGUUCUUGUGGAGCUUCUGAAUGUCUUCCUUCGACGGGAUGUGACCGUCACGGUUCAGGGUCUCGAAGGCUGGACGGUCGAAAAGCGUCUUCAAGUCGAUAUUCGACGGGUGCCCAGAAAGCGUCGCGUCGACAGGGAUCCCGGUUGCCGAAGUCCCCAGAAUGGCAGUGAUAUCCAGGAUGGUGGGACCAAUGGGACCCAGAGGAAGAACCAUUGUGUUGGUGGCCGAGCACCAGAAGCACAGAGCGGCUAGGAGAAGCUCCUUGUCGAGGACGACUUCCAUGGACGAAAGGAGGAUGGCGUCGUAGAUGCCGAGGGCCUUCCACUGCUCGCCAAAGAGUCGUUCCAUUCGAACAACCCAGGCUGCCCAGGUUGUGGUCGUCGAGGGCCAGGAGCCCUGGGGCUUCGCCGCAUCCCAUCGCGACCAUUCAAACCCUUGAAGCAGGGGUGUUAGGCAGUGCUCCUGUAGAAGGCCGAUGAUAGUCGGCGGUAUUGUAGCCUUGAAGAGAGGACCCAGGAUUUGGUACUGAGUGCUCAUGUCGUUUUCAAACCGUAUGGUCUUGAUCGAGCUCCGAUCAAGAAUCUUCUGGUGCUGGUCACAUUCCCUGGAAAGCUUGGAGAUGAAGGACGCCAUUGUAAGAAAGAAGCACGGAGUAAAAGGGUUUUCUGGGUUGGGGAUUUAAGACGAAGACUUGGAAUGGAGAAAUGCACUGGAAAGCAAUGGCAGAGGAUUUCAGGAAGUUUGAGAGCGUAAAGUACAAAUGAGGGAAUUUCGGUAUUUAUAGAGUUGUGGGGGGAAGAGCAAUCGUUCGAAAUUCAAAACAAAGGGCAAAAUAGACCAAAUGAAUCGUGGAUCAUGAUGAACAUUUGGGAAAUGCAGUUGAGAAGACCGAAGGUUUCAGAUGUUGGAGGCGCACGAUCGCGUGUGACGGCGAAAUUAAUGACGAAAGACGGUUCGACGCCUGCAUGAUGACAAGUGGGCUCACGGACUGAGGUAGUGGCUCGCGGAUUGAGAUAGUGGUCAUAAUGGCAAGACGGUUCGGGCAGGCGCACGCUUUAGACGUCAUUAUUGGGGAUUGGCCAUGUUAGAGGAUGCCACGUGGCGAGUGGUUUAGCAGGAUCAAGAUCGUGCGAUCGUGUUCAAUAAAUGCACCUUGGAACUCGGGUAUUAGGAUUCUGAGUGGUAGAUUCGCUUCUUCAAGGCCGAAACUCGGCCGAAGGUUUCAGGCCGAGGACCUCAGAAGCGAGGGGGCAAUGUUUGGGCCCAAAAUAGCAGUUUGGGCCGAGGGAAGAAUCACUCUCGGCCCGGGAAGCCGUACGGCGAAAGGGUCAUGGAGCGUUCAGCUCAUGGGCUUCUAAGCAUAGGUCGGUUAAAUCAGAAUGCAAGUCGAGUCCUAGUACAAUAGGGACUCUCGACGAGAUCAAUAAACUAGAAAGUGAAUCCGGCUCAGUUAAGGACUAGAUUCGUAGUCCUAGCGGAGAUAGGACCGAUCGAGGUAAUGUUAAUCCGGAGAAGGAAACCUAGUUCGAAUAGAAUUGGAACUCGGGCUCGGUGUUCUGCUACUAUAAAUACAAGACAUUCAGCAACAGAAAAGGCCCCCUGCAAAUCAAUACAAAAUUGCCCUGCGCAAAUUCUCACAACUUGUGAUUUUUCUUUUUCCUUUUUCGCUGACACAUCUUCCGUUGGCAUCAACAGCACUGUGGAAGCAACCGGUGAUAUCUUAAGUCGGCAUAGAUAGCUCUGUCAUCGUAGAGUUAAUCGGUCUCGCAGUAUCUUCCGUUGGCAUCAACAGCACUGCGGCGAGAACGGUUGAUUACCUAUCCAAGUCUCGGUCGAGAAGGGUUUCUAAAUCCUUAUUGGUCGAGGUCAUCUCAUCAGCCUUCUCGGCGAAGUGAGGUGUUACAGUUAUUACAUUCGGCACAUUGAAAGCCGAAUUUAAUAUUGAACUUCGUAAGAAUAGUAACCUUGUCUUCAGGUUCGAGAGCCCAAGAGGCCGAGACGUGUUCCUUUCUCGGCCGCAAUCGCAAGACGCAGAAGUCAGUAGCGCGACCCAACGCAACAUCAACAAAUUUACUCCUCAGCCGAUCUCGGCCGACGAGUUGGCACGCCCCGCAUUCACCGAAGGACGUAGUUAGCUCAUUAAUUACUCGGCCUGCGCGCCACGUAGGCUCUGUAGUUUUUAGGGUCAACAUGAAGACUCUUGUGUUUGCUCGUUUAUAGGACUCAUACAAGGAAUGCAGUCUGGUAUUCCUUGUAGGAUUGUUAUAGGGCAAUCCAAGUCUUUUAGUAUAACCACAAGCCCUUUCUCUCACAAAAACAGUCUCUUAUUGUUCCAAUUACAUAUAACUUGGAGAGCAUUGAGUUUUGCAGAGAGGAGAAGGUCGUGUGUAGAUUUCUCCAAUGGCUCUUAAUCCUAAUCUGUUGAACAUAGUUACGAUAUGGUGUUUAGUACUACUCUUUCCUAUGAUCAAUGCCGUGAAACAUGAAGAAGUUAUUCAAGCUAAGAAAGAGAGUAGCAAUUAAAAGAGCAGCGAUCGGCUGUAAGAAAGAAGAAUGGCAACAACCCAAAGGUCCUUGCAGAAUUCAACAACUUCCAGAGGUUGUAGUCAUGGCCAUUCUCUCAAGGCUAGUCUCCAUCAAAACCAUCCUUAAUUGCCGGCUACGUCCGACUUCCCAAUUCGGGGAAGACCUUGUUUUACUGGUUUUUCAAGCCCAAGAGGAUGCAUCUCGAAAACCCCUCGUCCUUUGGCUUAUUGGAAUAGCACCAUCUGCUGUCUUCUGACAGCACACAUGGGAAAGACUUCGUGAAACAGUCUGCAGGUAUGUGUUGCAGAUAUUACUUCAGUAUCUACAUAUGUAGAACAUAUUUGAUGCGUUGGUUGUGAUUUAGUUGGUAAAUUCUUAUGUUCUUGGCUAAGUAUAUUAACAUAAAGCCUAUGUUUACUCUUACAUGCCUCGCUGGGCGGGGAUGACGGUGGCAUCAGAUUGUUUGAGUGGUCCUUCAGGGAUUCUGUAGGUUUUGUUUCCAAUGUUGAAACGGGAGUGGAUCGAGCCGACUCAGGCUUCAUCUUGCUCGAGGAUUUGUGUGAGGUCCUCAUCCUGAUCAGUAGUACUGCUUUUUGGUUUACGUUGGCGGAGUUGAUUGCAUGGCCCAUGCCUGUGUACCACUUUUAGUACUGAUGCCUUGUUAUUGUUAUGAUCUAAAUUGGAAUGUAUAUAGGAGUUUAGUUAUCCAGAUUCACAAUUAUUUUCAUAUAUGCGUGUGUGUGUAUAUAUAAUUAUAUAUUCAUAUAUAUCCUUAAGCUGUAAACAAGCUUUAAGUAGGUGAAAUAGUCACGCAAUGAGAUAAAUUUAUAUAGAAAUGUGAGACGUGAAGUCAAGUUUUUCUCAUAACCAUAAUAUUAUAUAGAAAUAUAUAUGUUUAAUAUGCUAUUUAAACAUACAAACUUGACAUAACCCGUAAUCUCUAAUAAGGGUGAGUCUUACUAUUAUAUGUGAGACUCGCCUGAGAGUAUCACCUCCACCCACCAUCAUCACCGUUGCCGUCACCACCACUCACCAUAAUUAUCGCUGCUGCCACCGUUACCCACAAUCACCGCCACUGUCAUCAUGACUUAUUAUCAUCAUCGUCGUUAUUGCUACCACCAUCCACCAUCUUCAUCACCGCCAUUGACGAACCCCACCACCACCAACGCUGUCACCACCUCCACCCACCAUCAUCACCACCACCACCUUUGUUAGUACAUUUCUUAACUACUAUCUCUCAUAUUGAAUUCUGUAUUUGAAUUUCCUUAUCCUUUUAGGUUAGCCAAAUAAGAAAAAUUCACAUAUAAGAAAAUAAAUUUAAAAAAAAAGAAAAAAAAUCACAAAUUUUAGAAAAUAAAUUUCAUCAUUUUACAAUUCCUUAAAAAUCUUUAAUUUCUUCAUUCAAACAUAUUAGAAUUGUGGUAAUAUCACAUUACGAGAACCCAAAUUUUCAUUGAUGCAAGUCCCCUACUUUUUCACACAAAAAUAAUUAUUGUUGCAUGGCUUGAUUUUGUAUUAUUCUGACUUAUGUUGUGAGACUAGAUAUAGAAGAAUUGUAGAAUAGCAACGACAUAAAGUACUUUUAUUUUUUAUUUUUAUACAAGUUGCUGCUUGCGUACUUGAAUUCUUUUUUACCUAUUACACACACAAACCAAUUGUCACUAUGUAUGGUUUGUGCCAAUUCGUCUAUGUAUAAUUAUGUAUUACUAUUACAUUAUCUGUUAUAAAAUUUGCCCUAUGUUGCUGCUGGUGGUGGCUUAAUCAAACUUUUUAGCCAGCCUAAUUAAGCAACUAAUCACAUAAGCCCUCAUGCUCAGGGGCAUCCUGCAGGGGCAAAUCCGAUUUUACGACCACCUACAUCAUACACCACCUGCAGCCUCUUCUGCUGAACGUUACCAAAUAUCCCAACGUCGCUGUCGUCGCCGUUCCCGGCAAACGCCAGGCAAACUUGAUCGGCACUCGCCACAUACAUUAUCCCCGUCUCGUCCAAAUCCAACGUCAUCCCUCCGCCGAAAGCAAACGAAAUCUUCGGAUACGUCGGCGUUUUAACAUUGCUGAAGUCGUAGCAAGUGUCGAGAAUAGAAAGCGCCGGAGCCGAGGUGUAGCUCUUCAUCUGCUGCCGAAACGCGUCCCGCAGUGCCCUGUACGCCGUCGCCUGCAAGCGCGUGAUCACCGUCCCGGAAUCUAUAAUCGUCCCCGAGGAGGAAAAAACUUCACCGGAAAUCGGUAAUUUUUUCCCGCCAACGCUGAUCCCGACCACGUUGAGGCCGUAAAACGACCCGCUGUCGGAGACGUCGACGAGGGGUGUGAAUUUCACGCCCUUGGAAGAUCGGCCGCCUUUGCCGAAUCUGAGGUAUCCAGUGCCGCUAGAUGUGGAGGGGAGGCAAUAGGAGAAGAACCGGUUGUAUUUCAAGGCGGAUUGCUCGACGAGGGAGAUGUUAUCCCGGCCAAGACCGAGCAAACCGGCGGCACCCCCGAAAUGGCCCUGGUUGUUCUGGCCGCAUCCGAACAAAAACCCAUCAAAAACAUCCGUCGACGUCAGGCUCAGUCGCUCUUUCCCGAAAUAUCCGACGGAGAAGGACCGGUCUCCGUACCCAAUGGUGUAGAUGCAUGUGGAAGUGUAGCAGCGGGGGUUGUAUCCCGUGGCUGACGCCAGCUGGGAACAUGUGGCAGAAUUGCAUGAGACAUUAACGUAUGAGGCGGAGGUUGCGGGAUCAAAGAUGGGCUCCUUCUGGUCGUAACACGAACCAGCACAUGGGCGGCAUUGGGUCCACGUUAGAUCGCUGCCUGUGUCGAAAAUGAGGGAAAGCUGCUUCUUGGGUGAGCCCAGACCCACGUUGACAAUGUAAUUGCCCGAGCCCAGUACGCUUCCGGACUUGGCGGGGAUGGUGGCGGCGGCGGAUGGAUGGGGUUUACCGACCGUGGUUGUGGAUGGUGAUUUAUUGGUGUUGAAUAGGGAGUGGAUUGAGUCGACUCGGGCUUGGUCCUGGUUGAGGAUUUGAGCAUGAGUUAGAGUUUUGGAUUUGUUCUUGUUGAUUCGAGAGCAUGGUCCGUGCUUGUGUACCACUUUUAGUACCGAUGAAGAUGAUGACUCCUUGCUCUCACCACCUGAAUUCAAAUAGAUCGAUUACACUUAGUUACACUUUUUUAUUAUAACCGAAGGAGACUAUGUCCGAUACAAAGACUUAAAACGCUUUCGAGUAAUAGGAGUGGUUUUUAAAUAACUUUUAAGUAUUUUAUGAGGGUUUAUUCGUAAUUUUAUUUUACAAAAGCACUUUUCAACAAAAAAAACGCUAAUAUAUAUGAAUACAUAACAUUUUCAUAUAUAAAUAUGAAAACCCAAUUUAUGUCUUUAAUACAUAACGUUUUCUUAUAAUCUCUAAUGUUCAUUACUUCACUUAGUAUUGGUUUAGUGAUAUUUUUCUUUUAUUUGUAAUUAAGAGGUCUUAGGUUCAAUUCUCGUCAAAUGUGAAUUUGAAUCACAUGAUUAUAGCUAGCCUAGUUUGAGAGUUAGGGCUAGUUUAGUAUUGCUGUGCUUUUAAAAAAAAGCUGCUUCUGCUGUGCUGUAAGAAUAAGUAACUGUGAAAUAAAGCAGCAGAGUGUUUGGUAAACUUUUUUUGUAAAAGUGCUUUUGAAAAAAAAAAGCAGUAUUAUAGUGUUUGGUAAACUUUUAUGUAAAACAAAUAUGAAAAAAAAAACCGGUUUUUCAAAGCUGAGUUUUGCAGCUUCUUGUUUUUGGCUUUUUUCACCCAAAACUGUGAAAAAAAAGCUGAAGCUAAAUGUUUACCAAACACAAAAACAGCUCACAACUUUUUUUUAUACCAAUUUUUUUCAGAAUCACCUCAAUACCAAACCAGACAUUAACUCCCUCUCUCACCCUUGUCCUUCUGCCAGUCUCUGUGGUACCUGCUUAUGCGGCCAUGAAUAAACAAAGAACAUGCAUGGUUUGCGGAUAAAUUGGUUAAGUACCAAAAGAAAAUAGUUUUUAUAGGUUAUGAUUUCAUGUUUCUAUUGAGCAAUCAUUGCGUAAUUUUUAAUUAUUGUAGCUUAAACACACAAAAAUAUGUAUACUUUUUUUUAUAACAAAACAUAUUAUCUACACUAAUGAGAGAUGGUCGACAAUAAUUAUUAAUUAUUAGCCAUACAAUGAGUUAGUAAUAAUUUAGUUUAAAUUCGCAUAUGACGAGAAUCUAACUUAAGAACUCUGAAGAGGAAUAUCACUAGACUGUAGUACUAAGUGAAACAAAUAUAUAAAUACUUACACACAAUAUAUAUAUAUAUAUUCCGUAGUGAAUUAAAUUAUUAAAUGUAAAAGAAAAAAGAAAACCUGUGAAUAUAAAACCUGAACCAAAGUAUAUAAAUAUUAUUAUUUUUUGCUACUACAACAAAACGUCAUUUGCACACACACAUAGAUAUUUUUGAGACAAAAGACUUAAGAAACAAAACCAUGAAAAAAAACUCUUUUAAUAACUUUAUGAAAGUUGUUCCCAAAAUCCAGACAAAAUGAGUCAUCCUAUUUUUUAUAACAUAAGUUGGCUGGAACAGCGUAUUUUUCUUUUAGUAUAUAUUUCAACUCGAUUCACCUUUCAUAAUUUAAAAUUAAUUUAGUGUAAUCUACUAGUAGUAUAUGAAAAACAUAAUCCCCUUGGUUAUUGGUGUUAAUAUAAUCGUGUUCGCAUCAAAUAAUAGUAAAUCCUAGCUCACUAUUUUCAUAUUUGGUUCCGUACGUAUCACCAUCAUGCAUGUUGAAAAUUACAUCAAACUAUCAAAACUUUAUUACUUUCCAAAAUAAUAUAAUUUUAUGACUUUAAGAUUUUGCAGAAUCUAAUCCGUGCUUUCUUUAUCAAAGUAUCCCCGUAAAUUUUCUUUUAUCUAUUUUAUAAAACGAAACAUUUCUCCGACCAGCCGCAGCACAUAUAUUUCCAACAUUGCAAUUAAACCUUGUACAUAGAAGCAAGCUCUAACAAAUUAUACAAUGGCUUUCGAUUUUUUGUAUGAAUGAUGUUUUGUAAUGAUGGCUUACGAAAUGACCGGUUCAAUAAUAUUGAAUAAAAAAAACUUGAACAUAUUUAUUAACCUUUGGCGGAGGAGCUAGGGCUGCAUGAGGUUGCUGGCAGCAGAGAAUUGAGUUCAACUGUAUGAGAAACUGGAUGGGGUUCAACUGUACGGGGACGCUGGUUCUCUUCCAAGGCAAAGCCCUUCUCCAAAGAGCUGAGAAUUAGGGUUAGAAUUACAGAGAAGUAAAGUAAAUAGCUCAUGAGGGAGGAGGAGGAGGAGGAGGAGCUAGAAAUACCGGGAGUUGCUGCCAUGAAUAUCGAAAACUCUUCCCAGAAUUCAAAUUAUGGUGUUGCUCCUACACAGCGCGACCUUCUCAGCCUUAUAAUAAGCAAAUGGGAAACCUUUUGGCGUCUUACACGUCACCCUUACAACUUGACAUGAGACCAAUUGAUUGAUUAGGUUUUUUUUAAAAGGGUAGAUAUGACAAUGUGUAUAUUGUUGAGGAAAAACUUAGAGUACACAACUCUAACACAAGUGUUAGAGAUGCAAUACAAGUAAACAAAUUACUUGUAUUACACACACAAAAUAUUACAACAAACAAACUUUUAAGGACACUCUUUAGAAGCUAUGACACUCACUCACUCACUUUCUAGAGACAAACUCUAGAUCACUCACACUCCUCACAAACUACUUUUACUUCUCACUCUCACUUGGUUGCCUACUUCUUCUUGGUUGGUUCUUUCUUACUUGAUUACAUUACAACACGCAUACAUACAUACUUAUAGGCAUGUUUGCCGACUUCACUAGCUCUUUCUAGUGCAUGUUACUGCACCCACAUAUGGCUUUGCAUAAUAGCCGUGCCGACUUAAAUGAUGCUAGAAUUUUCUAGCAUAUUAUGCAUGUCCACCGACUUAACAUGCAUAUUUAAACUUGGUCUAGUUCAUUUGCAACUGGACAAAGUCCUCUAGAAGCUUCUACCUUCCAAGCUUGCUGCUUGAAUUUGCUAGACUUUUCUAGAAUCCAAACACCAAUUGGGCUAGUGUUGAUCUUCAACACUCUCCCUCAACACCAACUCAUCCUUUCCUCCAUGUUGAGUUGACGACGAAGCUUUUUCUUGCACACCCAUUUACAUGAUAUGGGUUUCACAUCUCUUCGCUUUGGCACUAGAUUCCAAGCUUGAUUUAGCUCCGCUGCAGUGACCUCUUCUCCCAACUUUGAGCGACUCAGGUUCAUCUGUUUCUUCUUCUAUGGUUGCGUUGGCGUAUUUAGGAUUUUGCUUCCGGAUUCUUGUUGACCUCCUUAGUUGUGAUUGUGGAGUUAAUACUUCCACUUCACUAGGUCUAUCUUCUUCUGGUUGUUGAUAUACGCCAGGUUGCCAAGGGUUUUGGGGCACUGCUUGCUCAACACCAUCACCAUCAAGGGAAUCCUUAGACUCAUAUGGUCUCGAUUGGAUUCGAACAGUUUGCUCCCCCAUCUUCUGUUGCAGCUUAUCUUCAAUCUCUCUCUAAUCAGGCAAUGCCUCUUUUUUUUAAGACCACCAAGAAGAUGCUUCAUCAAACACCACAUCUCGUGAUGUGAAACAUUUUCCAAUCGUAGGAUCACAACAUUUCCACAUUUUUCUUUGGCUGUCGUAUCCCACAAAGAUACAUCGGACUACCUUCUUGUCAAACUUGCUACGUAGGUAACUUGGAACAAAUACGUAGCAGACACAGCCAAAUACUCGAAAGUAACUAACUGUAGGUUUCAUAUCCCACAGUUUUUCAAAGGGUGAGACAAAUUCUAACCUUGGUUGAGGAAGCCUAUUGAUCACAUGAGCUGCAGUUCUCAUAGCUUCGGCCCAAAACUUUUCUGGUACAUUCUUGGCAUGGAGCAUACUUCGACAUAUUUCUACAAGAUGCCGAUUCUUUCCUUCCACUACGCCAUUCUGUUGUGGCGUGUUGGCACAUGUGAUGACGUAUUCUACAGUGUCUUAGAUACUAGGAAAACUCAUUCAAGGUAUAUUCUUCUCCAUUAUCCAUGCAUAUGCAACAUAUCUUCUGUUUGUACCAUACUUGACCAAUCCCGAAACUACCGAGCACCAGCCAACCCUAUACUGUCAAGGACCCAGAAGAGUUCCCCUCCGACCAGGAGGCCAAUCACUACUCGACACGUGUCAAGAUUAGAAGCCAAUCAGAGCGCAGCACGUGUCGACAUCAAGAACCAAUCAUAACAUGACACAUGUCAAUGUGACAAAGCUACAAGUUUUUCUAUAAAUAGGGGUCAUUCCCCCACAAUAUUGCCUAAUGCCAUUUUGUGUUAAAUCAUUCACAAGAACUCACUAAAUUGAGAGCUUGAUCCUUUGUACUUGUGUAAGCCCUUCACUACUAAUAAGAACUCCUCUACUCCGUGGACGUAGCCAAUCUGGGUGAACCACGUACAUCCUGUGUUUGCUUCUCUGUCUGUCUCUAUUCAUUUACGUACUUAUCCUCACUAGUGACGGAAGCAAACCAAGCGAAGGUCACAAAACCUGACACUUUCUGUUGUACCAAAGUCUUCGCUGAUUUUGUGCAUCAUCAACAUUUGGCGCCGUCUGUGGGAAACGACACUUAUUCCUACUCUCUUCAGCUGUGUCAAGCUGGUUUCUAUCAUUCGUACACUUUCUUUUGAUCUGGCAUCCCUCUCCAGCAUGGGAAGCGAAGAAAGCCACAGCACACAGAAUGACACCCCCCUUGCACAUAGUGCGAAAACAACGAAAGAAGGAAGGAAAACGAGUUCUUCUUCAAGCUAAAGUCGAUGAGUUGGAAGCUCAGAACAACAAGAUAGCAAUGAGGAAUGAGGUCCUCCAGGAGCAAUAUGAGAAGCUCUUCGAGACACUUCACGAAGCUAGGCAAGCUCAGACACGCGAGCUUGUUGCCCCCGUGGAAGUCAACCAUCAACUGGGUGCCCUCCAACAUGGAGGGUCACAUGCAUUCGACAUAGAUAUCCCUGAUAGGGAACAAAUUACCCCUCGAUUUGAUAAUCAACAUGAGGCUUCUCUUAACCCAGUUGCUUCGACCCGAACCAUGAGAAGCGGAGGGAGACACCUCUUUGCUGAAGGGGCAGAAGGAUCGAAAGCCGUCUUUCGCGAUUGUCGGGAUUUCCUGAAGCAACGUCGAGAGAAUUCCAUCCAUAUAAGCUCAAAGAUCAAUGACCCAAGGAUUUCUGAGAGACUCGGUCCCCUGCCACGGCCCGAGCCGGCCACCAACUUGGGGAAGGGGCAACAAGUCCUAGAGAGACAUGAGGGUACAGAGGACUCAGAGGUGUUCCGACAGACAUACCCUGGAAGCCAGUACAGCGAGUCCAGGGAAAAAUCACAUGCCCUUGAUCAAACCUUCCCUAAUUCCAAGAGGAGAUGGAGAUUUACGAAAGAAAGCUCCAGUGGCACAUAACUCCGCUCAGGACCCCCUUGUCCUACAACUUCUUGAGGAAGUAAACAAGUUGAAGGCUGAACGUCAGGCUGAAAUACCUGACUGGAACCAACCCAGGCCUGGCCCUCUUACAAGGAGGAUCCUCAACACCCCCUUCAAGCAAAGACAAAGCAGAAGCUUGGCUUGCAACUUUAUACUGGGAAAGAGGACCCGAUUGAGCACCUUAACCUCUUUGAGUCCACCAUGGCAUACCGGAUGCACACCGACGAAGAGCGAUGUCUUCUCUUCCCCUCCACCCUCUCUGGCGGGAGCUCUAAAUUGAUGACCUGUACACUAUCCGCCAGAAGCCAGACGAGUCAUUACGUAUGUAUGCUGGCCGCUUCAGCCAUGAAUACUCCCGGGUGUGCCGAGGCAGACGACAAGACUGCCCUCAAAGCCUUCACGGCAGGCCUACGUGAUUGUUUCUUUAAAUAUACAUGAUCAAUGCCAAUACUUGGAAGACUUACUCUGAGGUGAUGGCGCAGGCUUAUAACCAUGCCUCCGCCGAAGCAAAGAACAUAUCAGGAGAAACCCCCCUACAACCAUCCUUUAUCAACAAGUGGGAGGUGGGAAGCCAGACUCACCUAAAUGAGAAGACCUCGACUUUCCCAAACAGCUUCAUCCAAAAAGCUUCACCCGAAAAGCUUCACCUCCAAAACUUCACCCAAAAAGCUUCAUCCAAAAAGUUUCACCCAAAAAGCUUCACCUAAAAAAAGCUUCACCCAAAGAAAAAAAAAAAAAAAAAAAAAAACUUCACCUCCAAAAAGCUUCACCCAAACAGCUUCAUCUAAAAAAGCUUCACCCACAAAGCUUCACCUAAAAAGCUUCACCCACAAAGCUUCACCCAAAAAACUUCACCCGAAAAGCUUCACUUAAAAAAGCUUCACCUACACAGCUUCACCUAAAAAAGCUUCACCUAGAAAGCUCCCUACUACAUACUUUUCACCAUCAAAGCUUCACCAUCAAAGCUUCACCUAGAAAGCUUCAUCUACAAAGCUUCAUCUACAAAGCUUCACCAUCAAAGCUUCAUCCAAAAAGUUUCACCCAAAAAGCUUCACCUAAAAAAGCUUCACCCAAAAAAAAAAAAAAAAAAACUUCACCUCCAAAAAGCUUCACCCCAAACAGCUUCACCUAAAAAAGCUUCACCCACAAAGCUUCACCUAAAAAAGCUUCACCCACAAAGCUUCACCCAAAAAACUUCACCCGAAAAGCUUCACUUAAAAAAGCUUCACCUAAAAAAAGCUUCACCUAGAAAGCUCCCUCUACAUACUUUCACCAUCAAAGCUUCACCAUCAAAGCUUCACCUAGAAAGCUUCAUCUACAAAGCUUCAUCUACAAAGCUUCACCAUCAAAGCUUCACCUAGAAAGCUUCAACACCAAAGCUUCACCUACAAAGCUUCAACACAAAACCUUGCUCCAAAUAAACAAAUUUUGUUCACAAAACCCAAGAUGCCCUUGAACUUGUACAAAAACACUUGGGUAAACAUAAACAUUUUUUUUUUACACCCACAAGGGCCCAAAAUUUUCCUUCUUAUUUAUUCACUUAUAUAUGUUCCCAAACAUAUUUAUAAUAGAUCCAACAACAAGCCAAAGUCCCAAGUUUCAUAAUGGACAAAAGUACAAGCAAUUCAUCAAUAAUGAAGGUGCUACAAAAAUUGGAAUCUGCCCCAAAAUAGAAAUCCAACCCAAGAGACUUUUUCUCUCUCUCCCUCUUCCGCCUCCUUUCAUCUAUCAAAUUUCUGCAACCUCUGCUCUUCUCCAAUGGAGCUGAAUUUUGGACACCCUAUAGUUCUUGAGCAUAUGAACAACUUUCAAGAAGGAACCAUUUCUGUUUGAGCGACGGAAAUUAAAGUGUUGAAGCUCCAAACAUGACAGUCGGAUUCUUGCAGAUUUCGAAGCUGCUGUGAUGUUUCGAAGAUAUGGAAAUAUUUAACCAUUAGUUCAUUCUGAAUUUUUGAUAUGUUAUGAAAGAGACGAUGAGGAACAACUUCAAUUAAGAAAGCAUACCGAUCUGAACAAGAGAAAAUAGAGUUUCAAAGCUCACAACAAAUCUGACGGGUUGACAGAAAAAUAAUAACCAGUCAUUCAUCAUACCUGGAUUUCUGGAGUUAUACUGCUCCGAGGGAUCUCAAAUUUGGAUAUGUUGUAGUUCCCAAGCUGAGGAACAACUUCAAUGAAGAAAGCAUGCUGAUCUGAGCAAGAGAAAAUAGAGUUUCAAAGCUCACAACAAAUCUGACGGGUUGACAGAAAAAUAAUAACCAGUCAUUCAUCAUACCUGGAUUUCUGGAGUUAUACUGCUCCGAGGGAUCUCAAAUUUGGAUAUGUUGUAGUUCACAAGCUGAGGAACAACUUCAAUGAAGAAAGCAUGCUGAUCUGAGCAAGAGAAAAUAGAGUUUCAAAGCUCACAACAAAUCUGACGGGUUGACAGACAAAUGAUAAACAGUCACUCAUCAUACCUGCUGAUUUCUGGAGUUAUACUGCUCCGAGGGACCUCAAAUUUGGAUAUGUUGUAGUUCACAAGUUAAGGAACAACUUCGAUGAAGAAAGUAUGUUGAUCUGAGCAAGAGAAAAUGGAGUUUUUGAAGCUCACAACAAGUCUGACGCGUUGAUAUACAAAUGACGAACAAUCACUCAUCAUACCUGAAUUUCUGGAGUUGUACUGCUCCGAUGGAUCUCCAAUUCGGAUAUGUUGUAGUUCACGAGCUAAGGAACAACUUUCAUGAAGAUGGUUUUGCGAUCUGAGCCACAGAAAAUGGUGUUAUAUUGAAGAAAAGCUAAAGGAAGACUAAAGGAAAGCAAAAAUGGUAAAGCAAAGUAAAAAAAAAAAAGCUAAAGGAAGACAAAAUCAUGGCACAUGAUAAUGAGUCAUACCCUACCCCUCAUUGGAUUCGAAUACACCCAUCCUCCAAAAUCAUGACAAAGGCCACAUUAUAGAUAUCUGUAUAAACAUUCCAAAGAAAAAGAGAGGGAGUAAAAAAAAAAAAAAAAAAAAAAAAAAAAGGGCCUAGGCCUCCACUUCUUUGGGCCUAACACAUCUUCAUAACAAAAAAAAAACAAUAUAUGAAGAAAGAGCCCUGGGUUACCACUUCGAAAAGAAACAAGUGAAGUUUUCCUACUCAUGACAUUGACUACUAGCUAGACACCUCAUUCGGCAACUCUCUUCGCCUGAAGACUUGGGGACUCCCACCAUAUGCUACUGCACCUUGAUACUCGGCAGUCUCACAACCACUCAGUGACUUGGAUUUUUCAAGUCUCCAACCGAGAAGUUUUCCUCACUCGGGAAAUUAAGGGAACACUACCUCAAACUACAUGCUUCACUCACAAAGCUUCAACAAUACAGGUUUCAACAAAAGCAAAAAUUCAAAGAAACUUUAUGAAGAAGGCUUUGGUGUAUUUAACACAAUAUAUUGAAAUGAAGCAAAGCUUAUUUAUUAAUAUUUUCGAUAAGCCACAAAUAUGUACAUAUACAUGAGUCAAAAUAAACAAACAAAAGGGAGCCUUCACAAAGGUUGCUUAGGGGAAGUCUCAGCAGUCGGUAGAGCCCCAGAAAGAGAAAGCACCGGAGAGAGUGGUUAUCCGGAGCCUCAGUACUUGACAAAACCCCAGAAGGAGGAGGCAUUGGAGGUUCAUCAUUUGAAGCUUCAUUACCAGGUACAGCCCCAGAGGACGAAGGCAAUAAAUGCCUUUGGAACAAACCCACAAACCGCUGAUGAUCAAGUAAAACCUUACCAUCAGAUUCCUUCAUCUGGUCAAGCUUCCUCUUCAUGUUUGUAGCAUAGUCAUGGGCGAGCCGGUGCAACUGCUUAUUCUCAUGCUUGAGCCCUCUAAUCUCCUGUUUGAGACUCAUCACUUCAGCAGCCAAUGAUUCAACUUGGUGGGUUCUAGCAAAUAGGCGUUGGGCCAUAUUAGACACAGAACCUGCACACUGAACACUAAGAGCCAGAGAGUCCUUAACAGCCAACUCAUCAGACCGUUUGGAAAGUAGUCUGUUAUCUUUGGGAGUGAGAAGGUUCCUGGCCACCACUGCAGCGGUCAUAUCAUUCUUCAUCACAGAAUCCCCAACGGUAAGAGGACCAGUAGGGGAUAUGAAUGAUGGGCGCCAUAUGUUGUCUGGAGAAGGCGUGGCUGUCUCUUCUCCAAGGUUCAGGUCAAAACGACGGUCGGAGGGUCCAGACAUUUUCAAAUGUGUUGAAGAAGGAAGAGGUCAGACAAAUCAAGAUCUUAGAAGUGCAAGAAAUGAGCUUCUACUGGUAGAGAUUCAGAUGUGCUGUGGAACUUAAUGCCAGCCUCUAUAAAAAUCUGCACUCGACGGAGCUUCAGAAAUCGAAGAGGCGUUUGCUUUCUCAAAAGCUGGGCUGCUCAGAGACCACGAGGGCCGAUCUCAGAAAUCGAAGAGGCGUUUGCUUUCUCAAAAGCUGGGCUGCUCAGAGACCACGAGGGCCGAUCUCAGAAAUCGAAGAAGCACCUGCUUUUUUCAGCCUCGUCAGCACCUGUCACAUUGCACAAUCAGCUUUGCGAAAAUUACGGGCAAUCUGUCGAAGAUUUCUGGUGAAGUAAAAAGCACGUGAAUCUUACUGUUCAAUCACCGCUCUCCAUAUGCACCAUCAACUCCUCGGGUACCACAUAUAACUUUGUCAAAGAUCUCUGACAAAGUUUAGGCACGAGAAUUUCGAAGUUCCAGCUACCCUACUAUUACCCAUAAGGGUAAAGGAACAGCACCACUGCUUGACAACUGGAAAGUCCCUAUGUGUGUCGACCUCCGUGUUUUGCGGCAAGACAGGUUGGCAAGAACGUCCAACCUUUACUCACAUUCGAGAAAAGACUCCCAACAUAAUUACUUUCUCAAAAACCGGAGUAGCACCGCUUUCCGAAUCUCGAGAGUCAGAUCCUCGACGGGAUUGCUUGUUCGAAAACCGAAGAGGCACAACUCUCAGAACUUCGAGAGCCAGAUUUCCUUAGAUAAAGCUUGUCUGUAAUCUUCACACGUAACAUCAGCUUUCCAGAUACCACAUACCACUUUUUUCAAAGUGCUCUGACAAAAUUAAAACACGUGAAGCUGGCAGCUCCCACUACAUUGCUGUGACCAAGAAGGGUAAAGGAAUAGCAUUACUACUUGUUAUUGGGAAAUCCCUAUAUACAUUGACCUCCCUCCUCAACGGACAGGCAAACCUGCAAAAAUGCUCAACCCUUUCUCGCAUUCGAAAAGGCACCCUCAACAUAACCUCUCGAAAUACUCAGCUUUAUUUCCCCCCGAUAAUACCUCAGCAAAUAAGCCACACCAAGAACAAGAGUAUCUCAUAUCAUCAGGGUCGAAAGCAAGAGUAUCCCAUAUCAUGCUUUCUCCCUAUCUUUGUCUUUGUCCUUGUCCACACCUGCAGGACAAGGAGAAAGAGAGCAGUCAGUCGGAACCUGAAAUCAAACCUCCAAUUUGGAACUGACUGCCUGGAGCCUUUGCCUGGUUGCUUACUUAGCAUUGCUCUCGAGUACUCAUCCUCAACUGCUGUCAAGGUCACGAAUUCCACCGGCAAAUACCUCAUGACAGUUGAUCAGAUAUUGGCUCUUUACACUGAAGCUGCCAAGCGUGGAUGAGUCACUAUGAAGGAAUGUUCUGAAGGACCAUUUAAAUGCAAAGGUUGCACACCACUUCUGCCAUGCAAAAGAUUGAAGCAGAAGGUUCAACGGUGAGCUGAAACAGAUCACUACAGCACGACACCUUUCCAUACCACAUUCAUUAUUCCAUCCGUCAACAGCAAAAGUAUCUCAUAUCAUCAAGGUCGAACGUACUCUAGAUUUGAUGGACUUGUUUUGACCCUCAAAUUUUUGAGUCAGCCUUAUACUCUGAAGGGCACCAGAAAACCCUCCAGCACAGUUCAAGAAUAAGCCUGUGGAAAGUUACUUCUUCAAAAGCAAAAGUAUCUCAUAUCAUCUCUUAUCCAUUUGCUUCUCCUUAUCCUGGCAGUUGAAUGAGAGACAAGGAGAAGGAGAACAAUCAACCGGAAGCCGAAGUCAAACCUCUGAUCCUGGGUUGCUUACUUGGAAGUUUGACUGCUUACCUUGUCUGUCACCUCUUUCGGCAGAUCUCCUAGCUCGGCGACUUGGGGGGACUCCUACUAUAGGGUUUGUAUCACACUUGACUAAGCCCGAAACUACAACUAAGCUUCAAGUGAAAUUGAUACAUUACCUUGUGCGUCAACAUCAGCUAAAUACACAAUUCCCGGAUGGAGGAAAGGUACUUCCAGAGAAGGGCAGAUGAAGAUCAGACCACACUUCGGUACUUAGAAGUUUCGUGAUUACUCAAGGGAUUGGAUCUUGCAAGUCCCCAACCGAGGAGUUUCCCUCACUCGGGAACUUAGGGGAGCACUGUUUGUACCAUACUUGACCAAUCCCGAAACUACCGAGCACCGGCCAACGCUAUACUAUACUGUCAAGGACCCAGAAGAGUUCCCCUCCGACCAGGAGGCCAAUCACUACUCGACACGUGUCAAGAUUAGAAGCCAAUCAGAGCGCAGCACGUGUCGACAUCAAGAACCAAUCAUAACAUGACACAUGUCAAUGUGACAAAGCUACAAGUUUUUCUAUAAAUAGGGGCCAUUCCCCCACAAUAUUGCCUAAUGCCAUUUUGUGUUAAAUCAUUCACAAGAACUCACUAAAUUGAGAGCUUGAUCCUUUGUACUUGUGUAAGCCCUUCACUACUAAUAAGAACUCCUCUACUCCGUGGACGUAGCCAAUCUGGGUGAACCACGUACAUCCUGUGUUUGCUUCUCUGUCUCUAUUCAUUUACGUACUUAUCCUCACUAGUGACGGAAGCAACCAAGCGAAGGUCACAAAACCUGACACUUUCUGUUGUACCAAAGUCUUCGCUGAUUUUGUGCAUCAACAUCUUCUUUCCCCACUUCUCCUUCAACUGUCUCUUUAAACUCUUUAAAUUUUGAAAAUGUUUCAGAUUUUUCUUUCAUAAAGAAAACCCACACAUACCUAGAGAAGUCAUCAAUUAACGUCACCAUGUAUUGCAUCUCACUUAUCGAUGGUUGCUUGACGGGCUCGAACAUAUCGAAAUGAACCAACUCCAACGGCUCUUUCGCUUUAAACUUUGACUCUUCGUAUGGUAGUUGAUGUGCUUUACCAUACCGGCAUCCUGCACAAACCAUGUCUGUUCUCACGUCAAGUUAAGGUAGCCCCUUAAGCAUUGACUUCUUCAUCAUCACAUUUAGCUUGUGAUAGCUAACGUGACCCAAUCUCAUGUGCUAUAAAUCUGCUAUCUCGUUCUUCUUUGUCUUGUUUACGUAUGCAGUUUCUGCUGACAUUACAUAGACUGCAAUCAUCAUCCCUCCAUUGUUGGCGUCCCUAAGAUCUUGAGGUGUCGAUACACCUUCACAUCUCGUGGACCAAACAAGACAUAAUUUCCUAAUGACGUUAGUUGCGGCACUAAAAGUAAAUUUUUCUUCAUACCUGGAACAUGGUAGACAUCUUGACGCGGCACAUGGUUAGUGUUGUAUCAGGGCUCAAUUAUUAUUUUACAUAUGUGAGCAAUUGGUAGCCUCGAGUCUUUGGCCGUCACUACCAAGCAGCCUCCUUUGCACUCAGUCAGACUUUGUAACUUUUGCUCAUCACCUGUCAUAUGGUUUAAGCAGCCUGAAUCCACGAUCUAAUCAUUCUGGUAGUCAAUCGACUCCGGAUUUGCUACUGUGAGAGCUGACUCUUGCUUCUCCAUAGCAACGAAUGCUUCAGCGUCCCAUUCUUCCUCCAGGGCUAGAGAUGUAACGACGUCCUAAUCAUCUUCAAUUUUCUCCUUUGAGCUGGCGACAUUACUCUUUACAAACUUUUUGAACCAGCAAUCAUUUGCCAUGUGACCCUUCUUACCACAAUUGUAACAUUUUCCCUCAAACCUUUUAUUAUUCUGGGACUGACCACGAUUGUCGUCAUACUUUAGAGCUCCCCUUAGUCAAGAACUCCCUUCUCCUUGAUAAUCUUUUUCCUUGUCACCAUUUCUUUUAAAUCCACCAUCAGCACGCUGCUUAAAGCUGCCUUUACUUUUGGUGUAGAGCGCUUCAUCCUCACCUCUUAAUGAGACCCCUCCCAUUUGCUUUGCCAAAGCUUAUUGAUCGGCAAGCAAAUUCUUAAACUCAACAAGUGAUGGUUGGGCUGGCCAUCCUUGUACAGCGGCAACGAAGCCUUGAUAUUCGGGUCUUAAUCCAUGGAUAAUUAUUCUUUUUAUCCAGGAUUCUACAAUGGCAGCACUAGGAUCUAACUCAGAAAUUUCACGACAAAUAGACUUUACCUUAUGGAAAUAUUCGGCAAUCGUCAUGUUUCGUUAGGUCACUGAUAAUAACUCAUUCUCAAGAAGUUGCAGCCUUGUGUCAUUCUUCUUUGAAAAGAGUGUGGCGAAGGUGUCCCAACUUCUUUCGGUGUCUUGGCCUUCCGUAUGUGCUCCAACAUGUCAUCUUUAACUGUGGUUUUUAAGGCAAACAUAGCCUUACCUGCCUUGAUCUUCCACUUCCUCAAAGUGCAGCUGGUGUCUUUUUCCGGCUAUGUAACUUCAUUACCGCCAACAACAUCUCAAAGAUCUUGGCCUUGUAGGUAAGACUCCAUACACGUCGCCCAUGUGUUGUAAUUUUUGUUGUUCAACUUCUUGGUUGCUCCAACAACUUGAAGAUCUCCCAUCAUGUCGGCAUAGCUUCGAUAAGCCGAACAAGAUUAACUAAUAAUCUUGCAAAGUCCUAAACUUCUCACGAUUCUAAAAAACUUCACUAGAGACGGUCCCUGAUCGUACCGUUCGGAUACCAAUUGUUGAGGAAAAACUUAGAGCACACAACUCUAACACAUGUGUUGGAGAGGCAACACAAGUAAACAAAUUACUUGUAUUACACACACAAAAUAUUACAACACACAAACUCUUAAGGACACUCUUUAGAAGCUAUGACACUCACUCACUUUCUAGAGACAAACUCUAGAUCACUCACACUCCUCACAAGACUACUCUUACUUCUCACUCUCACUUGAUUGCCUACCUCUUCUUAGUUGGUUCUUUCUUACUUGAUUACAUUACAACACACAUACAUACAUAUUUAUGGCAUGUUUGCCGACUUCACUAGCACUUUCUAGUGCAUGUUACUGCACCCACAUAUGGCUUUGCAUAAUAGCCUUGCCGACUUAAAUGAGGCUAGAAUUUUCUAGCAUAUUAUGCAUGUCCACCGACUUAACAUGCAAAUUUGAACUAGAAUGGUCUAGUUCAUUUGCAACUGGACAAAGUCCUCUAGAAGCUUAAGCCUUCCAAGUUUGCUGCUUGUAUUUGCUAGACUUUUCUAGAAUCCAAAUAUCAAUUGGGCUGGUGUUGAUCUUCAACAUAUAUACGGCGUAUAUGUAUGUACAUAUUUAGACUGCGUGGCUUCAUCUUCACGUUCUUUGCUGAAUUAAGUCCACCUAUCCCGAAUCACAUACACAGAUAUUGACAUACGUAGCACGCUUAAAAGUGAGUGGCAAAUACUAUAGCCUAUACGUGAGGCAAUCUUCUCACCGUUUUCUUCAUAUAGUAUAAAGACAGCAUCGGCCUUAGCUAAAAAGUGAGACCUUAGGCAACCACCUUAUUUACCUCCCCCUUCGUCAUUUUACCUAAAAUUUCAUCACGUGAUUAGUAAGCUUGAUGAGAGAUAAACAAUAUUUAUGAACAGAACUUCUCUGAAUUACUACACUACCUACACACAUACACAACUUGUGAAUAAUAUUGACAUGGUGUGUAUUUAGGUCUAAUAUAUUGCUCGACCUGUAAUGACAUAUAACUGGAUAUAUUGAAUAUCAUGUCUAUGCAUUCGACUCGUUUGGGGUUAGCUUUGUUUGUAAUUGUACAUAGUUGUUGGUCAUAUAAAAGUAGUCUUCAUUAUAUGACUGGUUAACGUAACGAAGGAGAUAAAUACAUAUGAGCUAGUGUAUUUAUGAUUGUAUGUGACUUGUGCUAUAGAGGUAUUUCUCCCUAUUCUAUAGCGUAGAAAACAUCGACUAGCACAACAUGUUAGUUGAUUUAUAUCAUUUCCGUGGAUCUAAUUACCUACUAGUAGCUAGGGAAGGCACCUAAAUUAUCAUCCACUACUAGUUUGUACUAUACCUUAGUAUAUUAUUGCAUGAACAUGGUUUUCUUGUUAAUUAUAGGCAAAUUAGCAACUUCAUUAAUUCUUGCAUUCAUUUCAGCCGUCCAGAAGAAAUAUAUAUAUUUUUUCACCAUUUGUACAAGCCGAAUUGACUUGGGUCAACGUUGUCAAUUUCCAAGCCAAUUGGAAUAUAUUAGGGUUUUUCACUCGCACUUUGAAAACGAUAUAUGGGAAGCCAAUCAAUUAUUCUCCACUUCAUUUUUCAGUAGUGGAGACAUGCUGGAAUGGCAGCCCAAUCAUCACGUUUUCUAUGAUUUUACUCCUCCAAAACAAAUAUAUAUGAUUAGCGGAUCCUUAUGAAGGUGAUAAAUCAAUCUAUUGAUUUGUUAAUGGAUACUCAUUAAGACUCGUUUAAUUUUGAUAUCAUCAUAAUAUAUAGGUGUGAAUGGUAGCAGUGAUGAUGUUGUUAGGUGAAGUCAAACUACAUAAGUCUUAAUGGGGUACUCAUUAACAAUCCAAUGAGUUGGUUUGCCACCUCUAGAUCCAUACACGAUUGUUAGACAAUAUUUUUAAGGUCCACUCCAACUACUUUUAGGUCUUCCUUGAAAAAUCAUGUUUAUAAAAAAAUUACCAAAUAUAAAACCAUGUAAUGGUUGGAAUACGGUUGGAAUAAGACUUUAAGGCCGUAUUUGGUAAUUUAUUUUCACUACAAAUGAAUAUAUAUUAAUAGUUUUAAAUUUAAUUAAUAUUUUAUAAAAAUGAUCAAUGAAUGAUGUUCUAAAUUGAUCCUAUACAUUUAUGGAAUAGGCCCUAUAAAAACUUUUGCAAAAUGGUGAAGUAAAAAAAAAUGAUACGGAUCCGUCCCAUAUAAAUUAAAUUAUUAAUUUACUACGUGGUAACCCACCCACCCCAAAAUCCACACCACCCCACUAUAACGUACUCCACAAGUUAUAUAGAAGUCCGCAAUCUAAUAUUGAUGCAUUCAUUUCCUUAUCCCAUGUAAAUCUUUGGCAUGCUAUUGCUUAUUAUUGUUUCCAAUUCUAACGUUGAAAUAGCAAAAUACGUCUCAUCGAUUGUUCAUAUUAAAAAUUCGACAACAUACUAUGAUUAAAUACAAGACUAUCAAUAUUUUGAAUUCAAGAGUUUGAGAAAAUAUUAUGAUUAAAACGAAGACUUGUAUGAUAGGAUAUUAUUUUUUUGGCGUAAUCGUACAACAUGAACAAUAAAUUUAUGAGUUUAUUUGGUGCAUAAUUUUGGCACACUUGCACCCAACAAAUAAUUGAGUCCACGAAGACCACACCCAGCACCAAAUUAAAAUGAUUGGAUGAAAAUUAACACCCAUCAAGGUUUAUUCAAUUCAAUACUACAUAUAAAUACUACUUCUUUAUAAAUCUAUUAUGUACUUGACUAUCCUCACUAAUAAAGCAAUAUUAGCACAAUAAUAAAUAGAAAUUUUCUUUUACUUAUGUUGAUGCACAAAAUUAGUGAGGACUUUGGUACAACAGAAAGUGUUAAGUUUGUGACCUUCGCUAGAUUGCUCCGGUCACUAGUGUGGAUAAGUAUGUAAAUGGAUAGAAACAGGGAAGCAAACACAAGAUGUACGUGGUUCACCCAGAUUGGCUACGUCCACAGAGUAGACGAGUUCUCAUUAAAACAAGUACAUAUGUUCAAGCUCUCCUUUAGUGAGUAUAAGUGAAUGAUUUAGUACAAAUGACAUUAGGAAAUAUUGUGAGAAAAUGAUCUCUAUUUAUAGAAGAGAGUUUCUAGUUUCAUUCUGACAUUGACACGUGCUGUGUUGUGAUUGGCUUUUGAUGUUGACACGUGUCGCACUAUGAUUGACUUCUGAUGUCGACACGUGUCGCGCUGUGAUUGGUCUCCUGAUUGGAGGGAAACUCUUUUGGGUCAUUGACGGUAUAACGUUGACUGGUGCUCAAUAGUUUCGGAAUUAGUCAAGUAUGGUACAAACAGUGCUCCCUUAAGUUCUCGAGUGAGGGAAGCUCCUCGGUUGAGGACUUGCAAGAUCCAAGCCAUUGAGUAAUCACGAAACUUCUAAGUACCGAAGUGUAAUAUCAUUUUCACUUGCCUUAUCUGUCUUAUAUGUAGAUGUGAGAUCUUCUUUGGAAGUACUUUUCCUCCAUCUAGGGGUGGUAUCUUUAACCGAUGAAGAUGCACAAGGUAAUGUAUCAAUUUCACUUGAAGCUUACUUGUAGUUUCGGGCUUGGUCAAGUGCGAUACAAACCCUAUAGUAGGAGUCCCCCAAGUCGCCGAGCUAGGAGAUUUUCCGAAUGAGGUAACAUACAAGGUAAGCAAUCAGACUUCCAAGCAAGCAACCUGGAUCGGAGGUUCGACUUUGGCUUCUGGUUGAUUGUUCUCCUUCUCCUUAUGUUGUAAACAGCAACAAGGAUAAGGAAAAGCAAAUGGAGAAGAGAUGAUAUGAGAUACUUUUGCUUUUGAAGAAGUAACUUUCCACAGGCUUAUUCUUGAAUUGGGCUGGUGGGUUUUCUGGUUUCCUCCAGAGUAUAAAGCCGACUUAAGAAUUUGAGGGUCAAAACAAGUCCAUCAAAUCUAGAGUACAUUCGACCCUGAUGAUAUUUGAUACUUUUGCUGUUGACAAAGUAGUGGAUGUAUCAGCACAUGUUCUGUUACGCUUGUCUCCAUAUGCUUCAUUGUAUCCUUCUCACUUGCCCUAUUUGUUCCUCAGACAAAUGUGGUAUCUUCUCUGGAAGCAUAAGAUGUUGAAGAUGAGUACUCGAGAGAAAUGCCAGGUAAGUAAUCAGGCAAGGGGUUCCAUGCAGUCAGUUCCUGACUGGAAGCUUGAUUCCAAGUGCUGACUGAUUGCUCUCUUUCUCCUUGUCUUGCAGGUAAGAACAAGGCCAAAGGAAAAGACAGGGAAAAAGCAUGAUAUGGGAUACUCUUGCUUUUAACCCUGAUGAUAUGAGAUACUCUUGCUCUGGUGUGGCUUGUUUGCAGAGGUAUUAUCGGGAGGAAAAGAAGCUGAGUAUUUCAAGAGACUCUGCUGAGAGUGCCCUUUCGGAUGUGAAGAAAAGUUGAGCAUUUUUUUUAUUUGCAGGUUUGCCUGGCUGUGGAGGAUGGAGGUCGACAUAUAUAGGAGUCUCCCUAACAACAAGUAGUAGUGCUAUUCCUUUACCCUUCUUGGUCAUAGCAAUGUAGUGGGAGCUACAAGCUUCACGUGUUUUAACUUUGUCAGAGCACUUUGAAAAAGUGGUCUGUGGUAUCUGGAAAACUGAUGUUGUGUGUGAAGAUUGCAGACAAGCUUUAUCCAAGAAAAUUUGGCUCUCGAAGUUCGGAGAGCGGUACCUCUUCAGUUUUCGAACAAGCAAUCUUGUCGGGGAUCUUGCUCUCGAGAUUUAGAGAAUGGUGCCUCUUCGAUUUUUGACAAAGCAAUCUUGUUGGGAGUCGGACUCUUGAGAUUCGAAGAGCAAUGUCUCUUCGAUUUUUAAGAAAGUAAUCAUGUUGGGAGUUUGGCUCUCUAGAUUCGGAGGGCAGUGCCUCUUCGAUUUUUCAGCACAUAAUCAUGUUGGGAGUCUGGCUCUCGAGAUUUAGAGAGCGGUGCUUCUUCGAUUUUUGAGAAAGUAAUCCUGUUGGGAGUCUAACUCUUGAGAUUCGGAGAGCAGUGUUUCUUCGAUUUUUGAAAAAGUAAUCCUGUUGGGAGUCUGGCUCUCGAGAUUCGGAGGGCGAUGCCUCUUCAAUUUUUGAGCACAUAAUCCUGUUGGGAGUCUAGCUCUCGAGAUUCGGAGAGCGGUGCCUCUUCGAUUUUUGAGCAAGCAAUCUUGUUGGGGGUGUUUUCUCGAAUGUGAGUAAAGGUUGGGGAUUUUUGCCAGUCUGUCUUGCCACGGAGCACGAACGUUGACACACAUUGGGGCUUUCUAGUUAACAAGUAGUGGUGUUGUUCCUUUACCCUUGUGGGUAAUAGUAGGGUAGCUGGACCUUCGAAAUUUAUGUGUCUAACCUUUGUCAGAGAUCUUUGGCAAAGUUAUCUAUGGUACCCAAGAAGCUGAUGUUGCGUGUGGAAAGUUAUGCCUUUUCGGAAUCUAGAGAGUGGUGCCUCUUCGAUUUUUGAACCAACGGCCAUGUUGCCUUUUCUUUUAUAAGGGCACCAAUUAUGUGCAAGAAGUACAUUCAAAGAAUUAUUACUUGUAGGAAUUUUCCCCUUACUUCAGAGAUUUAUUGCACCUCAUUUCUCCUUCAUCAUUUCUGAGAAUGUCUGGCCCAUCCGACCGUCGUUUUGACUUGAACUUUGGUGAAGAGGCAGCCAUGCCUUCUCAAGACAACAUAUGGCGCUCAUCCUUCUUAUCCCCUACUGGUCCUCUUACCGUUAGGGACUCUGUGAUGAAGAAUGAUAUGACCACUGCGGUGAUGGUCAAUAACCUUCUCACUCCCAAAGAUAACAGACUACUUUCCAAACGAUCUGACGAGUUGGCUGUUAAGGAUUCUCUAGCUCUCAGUGUUCAGUGUGCAAGUUCUGUGUCUAAUAUGGCACAACGUCUAUUUGCUCGAACCUGCCAAGUUGAAUCAUUGGCGGCUGAAGUGAUAAGUCGCAAACAAGAGAUCAGAUGGCUCAAGCAUGAGAAUAAACAGUUGCACAGGCUCGCACAUGACUAUGCUACAAACAUGAAGAGGAAGCUCGACCAGCUGCAGGAAUCUGAUGAUCAAAUUUUACAUGAUCAUCAGAGGUUUGUGGGUUUGUUCCAAAGGCAUUUAUUGCCUUCAUUUUCUGGGGCUAUACCGUGUAAUGAAACUCCAAAUGAUCAACUUUCGAUGCCUCCUUCUUCUAGGGUUCUGCCUAGUACUAAAGCUCCGAAUAAUCACCCUCUGGUGCCUCCUCUUUCUAGGGCUCUGCUGACUGCUGAGACUUCUCCUGAACAACCUUUGUGAAUGAUCCCUCUUGUUUGUUUAUUUUGAUUCAUGUAUAUGUACAUAUUUAUAACUUAUCAGAGAUAUCAAUAAACAAGUUUUGCUUCAUUUGAAUGUAUUGUGUUAAAUACACCAAGGCAUUCUUCACUAAGUUCUUUGAAUUUUUCCUUUUGUUGAAGCUUGUAUGUUGAAGCUUUGUGAGUGAAGCAUGUAGGUUGAGGUAGUGCUCCCUUAAUUUCCCGAGUGAGGAAAACUUCUCUUUUGGAGACUUGAAAAAUCCAAGUCACUAAGUGGUCGUGAGACUUCCGAGUAUCAAGGUGCAGUAGCAUAUGGUAGGAGUCCCACAAGUCUCCGAUCGAGGGAGUUGACGAAUGAGGCAUUUCCUUUCUAAGUGGUAGCCCAAAACUCCUUCUUCAUAUAUAUUUGUUAUGAAAGUUGUUAGGCCCAAAAUGAGGAAGCCUAGGCAAUUUUUUUUUUUCGAAUUUUUGAAUUUUUUAAUUUUCGAAUUUCCGAAAAAAAAAUUAUAUAUAUAUUUUAAAGCUUUGAUGUUGAAGCUUUGUUGGAUACCAUGAAUUGAUUUUGCUUCACACUAUCUUGAUCAAGAUAGUGUGAAGCUUUUGUAGGUGAAGCUUUUGUGUUGAAGCUUUGUAGGUGAAGCUUUUGUGGGUGAAGCUUUUGUGGUGGGUGAAGCCUUUGUUGGUGAAGAUUUUGUGGGUGAAGCUUUUGUGGUGAGGGGGAAGCUUUUGUGGGUGAAGCUUUUGUUGGUGAAGCUUUUAUGAUGGGUGAAGCUUUUGUGGUGGGGAAGCUUUUGUGGGUGAAACUUUUGUGGUGGGGAAGCUUUUGUGGGGAAGCUUUUGUGGGUGAAACUUUUGUGGUGGGGGAAGCUUUUAUGGGUGAAGCUUUUGUUGGUGAAGCUUUUAUGGGUGAAGCUUUUGUGGUAGGUGAAGCUUUUAUGGGUGAAGCUUUUGUCGAUGAAGCUUUUGUCGAUGAAGCUUUUAUGGGUGAAGCUUUUGUAGGUGAAGUUAUUGUGGGUGAAGCUUUUGUAGGUGAAGUUUUGGAGUUGAAGCUUUGUAGGUGAAGCUUUGGAGUUGAAGCUUUUGUUGGGUACCAUGAAUUCAUUUUGCUUCACACUAUCUUGAUCAAGAUAAUGUGAAGCUUUUGAGAAUUUGUAGUUAUCCUCCAUUGAUGAAGCUUUUGUUGGUGAAGCUUUAGAGUUGAAGCUUUUGUUGGGUACCAUGAAUUGAUUUUGCUUCACACUAUCUUGAUCAAGAUAGUGUGAAGCUUUUGAGAAUUUGUAGUUGUCCUCCAUUGAUGAAGCUUUUGUUGGUGAAGCUUUGGAGUUGAAGCUUUUGUUGGGUAAAAUGAAUUGAUUUUGCUUCACACUAUCUUGAUCAAGAUAGUGUGAAGCUUUUGAGAAUUUGUAGUUGUCCUCUAUUGACGAAGCUUUGUUGGUGAAGCUUUUGUGGUGAAGCUUUGUUGGGUACCACGAAUUGAUUUUGCUUCACACUGUCUUGAUCAAGAUAGUGUGAAGCUUUUGAGAAUUUGUAGUUGUCCUCCAUUGAUGAAGCUUUGUUGAAUUUCCCAAUUUUUUUUUUUUUUUUUGGGAAACUAGAAAUUUGAAAAUGUGGGAGAGUCAACAUAUACAAAUUUUUCUUCCACACUGUUGAGCAAGAGAUUGUGAUGCAAGUCACACCUUGUAGUAGUCGAAGGUUUGGAUGAACCAUAUAAAUUGAAUUUGCUUCGAACAGUCUUGAAUUUGUUUCGAAGGUUUGAGAAUUGUAGUUACCCUCCAUUGAUGAAGCUUUUGUUGGCACCAUAAAUUGGUUUUGCUUCACACUGUCUUGAUGAAGAGUGUGUGAAGCUUUUGAGAAUUGUGGUUGAACUCCUUUGAUGAACCUUUUAUUGGCACUAUAAAUUGGUUUUGCUUCACGCUGUCUUGAUUAAUAGUAUGUGAAGCUUUUGAGAACUAUGGUUGCUCUCUAUUGAUGAAGCUCUUGUUGGCACCAUAAAUUGGUUUUGCUUCACAUUGUCUUGAUCAAAAGUGUGUGAAGCUUUCGAGAAUUGUGGUUAAACUCAUUUGAUGAAGCUCUUGUUGGCACCAUAAAUUGGUUUUGCUUCACAUUGUCUUGAUCAAGAGUGUGUGAAGCUUUUGAGAAUUGUGGUUGCCCUCCAUUGAUGAAGCUCUUGUUGGCACCAUAAAUUGGUUUUACUUCGCACUGUCUUGAUCAAGAGUGUGUGAAGCUUUUGAGAAUUGUGGUUGCCCUUCAUUGAUGAAACUCUUGUUGACACUAUAAAUUGGUUUUGCUUCACACUGUCUUGAUCAAGAGUGUGUGAAGCUUUUGAGAAUUAUGGUUGAACUCCUUUGAUGAAGCUCUUGUUGGCACCAUAAAUUGGUUUUGCUUCACACUGUCUUGAUCAAGAGUGUGAAACUUUCUACGAGUUGUAGUGUUUGCAUUGUUACAGAGGGGAAAUGUCUGAAGCAGAUGCAAGAAGGCUGAAUAGCUUGAUCUUUGUAUGUCAUGCACUGAAGUUGUUGUUGGCUUGUAAUAAAACUUUGUUGGUGACUAUAACUCUUGUUGGGCAUAAGUGCUCCCCUAAUUGAGUUGUCAAGUUUAACGGUUUUUGAUUAUUUGUGAAUGCUAGGAGUUCACAUGUACAAGUUGUACCACUCAUCUUUUGGUAGGUGGAAUGAAUGGUGAGUUGCUUUCAUCACUUGGUUGGUGGUACGAAGGUGAGUUCCUUCAUCAUCUUUCAUCACGUUUCAUCACCUGGUUGGUGACACGAGGAUAAGUUCCUUCUUCACCUAGUUGGUGGCAUGAAUGGCAAGUUGCCAAAUGAUAUUAGAGUACGGGUUGUACAUUUCAUCACCUGGUUGGUGGCAUGAAUAUGGGUUCCUUCUUCACCUGGUUGGUGGCAUGAGUGGCAAGUUGCCAAAUGAUAUUAGAGUACUGGUUGUACAUUUCAUCACCUGGUUUGUGGCAUGAAGGAGAGUACAAGUUGUACAUUUCAUCACCUAGUUUGUGGCAUGAAGAUGAGUUCCUUCUUCACCUGGUUGGUGGCAUGAGUGGCAAGUUGCCAAAUGAUAUUAGAGUACGAGUUGUACAUUUCAUCACCUAGUUGGUGGCAUGAAUGAGAGUACGAGUUGUACAUUUCAUCACUUGGUUGGUGGCAUGAAGAUGAGUUCUUUCUUCAUCUUUCAUCACCUGGUUGGUGAGAAUAAGGGCAAGGUGUCAAGGUACAUUGUAGCAAGUGUCGAAGACACAAAGUAUGUUGAACCCUUUCGAAGCACAGUUGGCUUAUGUAUGGAUGUGUUGGAAUGUAUGAUGUUUAUGUAUGAAUGUGUUGGAAUGUAUAAUCUUUAUGUAUAAAUGUGUUGGAAUGUAUAAUGUUUAUGUUGAUUGAUAUGAGUGAUACUUAUGAAUGUUUUGCUAUGCAUGAAAGGAUCCAUGUUUUUGAUAUGUGAACCAUGUUGGUUGUAACACUUAGUAUCACAUACUUUGUGUCAAAGUAUGCAUGUUGAAGCUCUGAGUUGGAGUAUAAAGGUAGGUCAGCGUAGACCAAGUGUUCCAGUGCUAGGAACGCAAAAAACUCAGAAGAAGUUGUAUGAAUUCCUUCUUCUUUAAAUAUUUGUCGAAUGGCUUAUGUAUGCCUUCUUAUAAUAGCAUUUCCUUCAGUACCUAGUCCUCCACUUUGAAAGAGUGAGGUUUGGCCCCAUAGUCAUAAUAGUCGAUGGUACGUUCACCCCUGGUUGUCUUGAUACGAACUUUUAUCCCUCUUGUUGUAAUGGGCUUGCUGAGAGUAAAAAUCAUUCCUCUUACCAAAAGACAGAUACGUUUGGUGACUUAGCGAGUAACUAAAUGAGGUAGGAGAUGAUGCAAUGGGUGUCUGAAUGACCAAUAUCUCCUCACUUGGUAGAACUUGACUUCCACUUCCCAUUUGUUGAUAGAGGUUAACCAUAUGAGGAUUCCCUUGGUAUGUCCUUGCUUCAGCGGAUGCGUGGUUGUAAGCAUGUGCCAUCACCUCAGAGUAAGUCUUCCAAGUGUUGGCAUUGAUCAUGUACUUGAAGAAACAAUCACGUAGGUCUGCCGUGAAGGCCUUGAGGGUGGUUUUGUCAUCUGCCUCAGCGCAGUGAGAAUACUUAUGGCUGAAGCGACCGGCAUACUCUCGUAGUGACUCAUCCGACUUCUGGCGAAUAGUGUACAAGUCAUCAGUUUAGAGCUUCGCUCUUCGUCGAUGUGCAUCUGAUAUGCCAUGGUGGACUCAAAGAGGUUAAGGUGUUCUCCAUUGAUGAAGCUUUUGUUUUGUCUUUGCUUGAAGGGGGCAUCGAUGAUUCUUCUUGUGAGAAGGCUAGGCCUGGGUUGGUUCUAGUCAGGUAUCUCGACCUGACGUUCGGCCUUCAACUUGUUUACUUCCUCAAUGAGCUAUAGGACAAAGGGUCAUAAGUGGAGUUAUGUACCACUGGAAUUCUUUCAUAAGUCUCCAUCGUCUUUUGGAAGUAAGAAAGUUUAAGCAUGGGCGUGUGGUUUUUUCUUGGACUCGCCGUACUGACUUCUAGGGUGAGUCUAUCGGAAUACAUUAGAGUCUCAAAGAGCUUCUCAUACUGCUCCUAGAGAACCUCAUUCUUCAUUGCUAUCUUGUUGUUCUGAGCUUCUAGCUCAUUGACUUUAGCUUGAAGAGCAACUCUCUUUCCUUCCUUCUUUCGUUGCUUCGCACUAAGUGCAAGAGGGGUGUCAUUCUGUGUGAUGUGGCUUCCUUCGCUCCCCAUGUUGGAAAGGAAUGUCUGGUCAAAAUAGAGUGUACGAAUGGUGGAAACCAGCUUGGCAAAGCUGAAGAGAGUGGGAAUAAGUGUCGUUCCCAUAGAUGGUGCCAAAUGUUGAUGCACAAAAUCAGUAAGGACUUUGGUACAACAGAAAGUGUUAAGUUUGUGACCUUCGCUAGAUUGCUCCGAUCACUAGUGUGGAUAAAUAUGUAAAUGGAUAGAGACAUGGAAGCAAACACAAGAUGUACGUGGUUCACCCAGAUUGGCUACGUCCACGGAGUAGAGGAGUUCUCAUUAAAACAAGUACAUAGGUUCAAGCUCUCCUUUAGUGAGUACAAGUGAAUGAUUUAGUACAAAUGACAUUAGGAAAUAUUGUGAUAGAAUGAUCUCUAUUUAUAGAAGAGAGUUUCUAGUUUCAUUCUAAAAUUGACACGUGCCGUGUUGUGAUUGGCUUCUGAUGUUAACACGUGUCGCACUAUGAUUGGCUUUUGAUGUCGACACGUGUCGCGCUGUGAUUGGCCUCCUGGUUGGAGGGAAACUCUUCUGGGUCCUUGACGGUAUAACGUUGACCGGUACUCAGUAGUUUCGGGAUUAGUCAAGUAUGGUACAAACAGCUUAUAAAUUCAAUCAAAAGAAAAACAAAUUUCCAAUUAAUAUGUGCCAACAAUUAAGUUAAUUUGUCAAUUUUUUUUCUUUAUAUGUACAAUGAAAUACCUCAAAGAAGACAAUGUUUUUGUAGUUAGUUGUGUUAUUCCAUCCCAUGAAGACAUAUUCAUGAAUCCGUUUCAAUCUAGACUUGAAUUAUCGUUCAUGAAUUUAUGACUUUUGACAUCAGAAUAUUGUUUUCAUAACGAUGUGAUGGCCUUGGUUAACAAAAUUAAGUAGAAUGGGUGGCCAAUAUUCUAAUGGAUAAGGUGUUGGGUUUCCACUCAUGCAUCUCAGGUUCGAAACUCCUUCUUCUCCUAAAUUAUUGUAAUAGUUUUGAAUCCUUAUCUCUUCCCUUAAAAAUAAUAAUUUAAAAAAAAAUCCUUAUUCCUGCAUAGUUCUCUUCUUCUUGUUUGAUUGUUAAUUGCACACCAACAGUUCUGGUGAUUAAUCAUGAAAGAAAAAUAGUGGGAAUCUUUAAUCGAAUAGGGAAAAAUGAUUGAUAUGUUGGAACUUGUUAGGGUGUGGGGUAGACAGAAGUUUGUAGUGGAUGGCGGAGAAAAGCUGGAAUCUGUCCCAAAAAUGAGAGAGUGAGAGAUACGGAUGGAGAUUUUGAUGGCUUGACUUCCGAUCUUGUAGUUUUCAGCACCAGCAUGCAACAUUUUAAUUUUUAAUUUUUUUUUUGUAUAAGAGUUCGUACUUUCUAAUUGGCAUGGCUUAAUUAUUAUUAUUUUAAUUUUUCAUCCAUAUGCCUAAUUUCCCCACUUUGAUAGUGCACCAUUGAAAAAGAUGAAAAGGGUGGUUAAAAGCAUCAGUUCACAUCAUCAUCUGAAGUUUCUAAUCUGAAUCUAUGGCAAAAAUCUUAGCGACCCAUUACACCAAUAUUAUAUCUCUAGGAAUUCAUGUGGAUUAUGCGCAACCGUCCUUUGUUAAAUAACAAAAUUUGCACUGAUAUAGUGUUGACUAUUGAUAAUAACAUGUUGAUAAGUUGUGUUGUUGACAAUUUAUAUAUUAAUAUUAUAUGUUAUUUAUCUACAACUUAUCUUUUAAUAAAGAACGAACAUCUUGUCUAGAGAAAAACUGACUAUAUGCAUGUCAUUAUAUAUAUAUAUAUAUAUAAUAAAGUUACUUGUAUAGUUUCUAAGAUGAUUCCAAACCCUAGAAUAUAUAUGUGUGUAUAUAUGUAUGUUAAUGUAAUGUAGUUGGAACGGAGUCAAUGUUUGGUUAUAUUUUCCUAAUAUUAUGUAAUAAAGAACGAACAUCUUGUCUAGUGCUUAGAUGAUUAAUCAUCGAGGAACUAUCCAAACAACUACAUAAGGAUGAAUUUUUCUUUGAAUUCACACUCUUGGGUAGUCUUCAUGUGCUUAUUUUCUGGUUGCACAUGGAUGUCACCUUUGCAAAUCACCACCCUUUUUAAUGCAACAUGGUACACUAAGAAGGACACUACUCUAAAAACGCAUUUUAAAACCAUUUCGUGUUUAGAGUUAAUUAACUUUAUUUUUAGCAUAGUUUAGUAGUUAUCUCUUUGAUUAAGAUGGAUUAUUGCUCACUGUGUUUCAUAUAUAUAGAUAACUAUUUGAAAACAUAUUGAACUUACCUUUGAAAUAUGAGAAGAAUUUUCAUGCAACUAGGAUGUUGUGGGAACAUAAAUGUCAACUAAUAGGAACACAUGCACCACGCAUACAACUUAUCAAAUAUGACUACUCUACCCUUGACGGAAUACACAAACCAUUAGUCAAAUCCUAACGGGCUAAUGGGCCACAUACUCUAGGAAGGUCCUAGAAGCCCACAAUCAACAUGCCUCCAGACCCAAUUCAUUACAACGGUCCAAGUCGAUCGCCACUGAACCUACUCAUAUCACCUUGAUAUGUAAUGGGCUUGCUUAUCAGUCUCUUAGAAUGGCAACACUCUCCAAAGAAUAUUUAGGGAUCUUAUAAAAAUAUUUCUCCAUCAAUGUGCAUACUAAAUAACUUUUUGCUAACAGGUUCAAUGAACCUGGACGCUAGGGUUAACUUUCAAUUUUCUAUAAAUACCUUAGAUCAACCACUUGAUUCCAAUAUAAAAAAUCUCACCACACUCUUAUUACUUUCUAUAGUCUUUCUGAUUUAGGAAACGGAGAUCCUUUGGCUAACAUCGGUGUUAGUCUAACUCUGUUUAUCCCUUUUCUUGUGUGUAGGUUUCGUCAAUUAAAUCUGAGGUGGAAAUUUGCUCCCAUAUAUACAACAAUAGAAAUAUCCUUUAACUAAUCAUGCAAUGGCAUGUGAAUUUUGUACAAUGCGUGAUUGCCUUAUGGUAACUUCACAGUAUCAUCAGGAUGUAGAUAAGUUCCCUCCUAUACCUUGAUUUCCUCCAUUGUGAGGAGUUACUUUGAAACCUCUCCAAUUUUCCUAGUUCUCAAUAAAUCAGAAAUUGUUUUCAUAUACACACAACUGCCUUUUUGCAACAAGUUCACAUUAGUAGACAAGGCAAGUUGGUGAUUCCUUGGAACAAAGCCUAUGUUCAUUCUGAAUCAGAGUUUUGGUUUGAUCAAUUUACAAACUUCGAACAUUCCAACUCUUUUAUUAAUUUCUAAACUUAUUGAAACAAGAAUUUGAAUCGUUACAAGAAAUAGUGCAUACAAUAGUAUACAAAUGUGAAACCAAUUUGGUAUUUUGAGCAAAGAUGGUGAGCCAGCUUAUGCAGCCAACAAAAUCGUAUCAUGAUUUUGGAUAGGAGCAUCAUCACAGCAGUUGCCGAUAUAAUCGAAAUCAUGCAUCAAAACCAUUAAAUUAGCAAUUGUGGAGCCAAAAAUAAUUACAAGGCGACACGUGGAUUUUUGGUAAAAAAGACAAAGUUACCCCUGAGACACACCAGUUGUCCUACGCGCGAGCAGUAUACAAUCAUUCUUUAAUCAAACCAAGAGUGUCCAAAAAAGGUAACCAAUUCUAAAUUAUCUCAUCCAUCCUCAUCUUAGGUAAUUACUUCAUAACCUACAAAUUAUUUCAUAUAAAUGGAGAUUAAUUGGCUAAUUAAUGGAUUAAUUCCUAAUUAAUCCAUUAAUCACCAAUUAAAUCACAAAUUUUCACACAAAAAAACCCUCUAAGGGCCGGCCACCUCCAUUCCCUAUAUAUAUCACCCUAUUUUUUCUAAAAAAGGAGGUCCACACUCUUGCAAAACUCCCAAAAAACUCUCCAAAUACUUUUCUCUCUAAAUUCUAACUUUGGCAUCGGAGGUUCUUCAGCCAAAGCCCCCCCCCAUUUAUCGUGGGCGCGUGAGGCUCUUGGCCUUGACCUAAGGUGUUAAUUGUUUUAUAGGUGCAAUUUUGUCCAAGAAGAAGAAGGCGAAAAUUUGCAUCCACAAAUUUGUGCUUUCAUUGAGAGUUGAGUCUCACACUUGUAGAAGACUCUCGCAUCCAAGGUUUUCUAUUUUCUUGUCCAUUGUAGAUUUUUCGUACGUUCUUAUUAUUAGAAUUUUUUUUAUUUGCAAAAAUUCUUUGAUAAAACGUAAAAGAGAAGUACAAUGGUUAGAAAUUUAGAAAAUUCAACAAAUCAAAAUUUUUACAUUCAAUAGAUGGGACCAUGACGAUCCACAAGACUAAAUGUGAUCUUAGGGGGAGCGGCACGACCACCACAAGGUUCCACCACGGGAACCACCGCGAUGGCUACUACGAUAGCCAUAUGUGGCGAGGUCCAUGGUGUCACCACUACCACGACCUGAGAUGUGCCACCAAACCAAGCCCAACGCGAGCCCAAUGCGUUGCCAAGCUGACCCCAAACCUCACACUCGCGUGCAUCACGCACCGAGCAACCCACUCUUACGGCCCAGCCUGCUCCCGCCGAGCAACCCACUCCCGUGGCCCAGCCUACUCCCACAACCCAACCUGCUCCCGCUAAGUAACCUACUCCCGUGGCCCAACUUACUCCCAUGGCCCAACCUGCUCCCAUUGAGUAACCCACUCUCGUGGCCCAGCCUGGUCCCGCAGUCCAGUCUGCUCCCGGGCUCAGCCCACUCCCGUGGCCCAACCUACUCUCGCGGCCCAACCUGCUCCCGCUGAGUAGCCCACUUUUGUGGCCCAAUCUGCUCUCGCGGCUCAGCCUAUUCCCGUGGCCCAGCCUGCUCCUGUGGCAUUCCAAGCAACCCAAAUCGGCUCAAAACUAUCUCAACCAUCUGAACCAACCAUCAAGCCGGGGGUAUUUUUACCAUAUUUCUCCACAGAUUUGACAUUUCUCAACUCAAAUCUUAUGCCUGGAGUCUACCAUACUUCCACUGCUCAAGGAGGCACAUUCUUUCCAAAGCUUUUCCAAUCUAAAUGGUGAACAACACUUGUUUCGACAAGUUAUAGAGUUGGCGAGCGCCCUUGCACAACAGAGGACCUUGGUGAAUCAACUUUUGCAACGCACCGAGAUCCAACGUGCCUCAUUUAGGGUUUUGGGUUCCUGCAGCCCAGUCUACUCCCGUGGCUCAGCCCACUCCCAUGGCCCAGCCUGCUCCCGCUGAGUAGCUCACUCUUGCGGCCUAGCCUGCUCCCGCGGCUUAGCCUACUCCUGUGGCCCAGCCUGCUUCUGCAGCAUUCCAAGCAGCCCAAAACGACCCAAAACUAUCUCAACCAUCCAAACCAACCAUCGAGCCGGGGGUAUUUUUACCAUAUUUCUCCACAGAUUUAACAUUUCUCAACUCAAAUCUCAUGCCUGGAGUCUACCAUACUUCCACUGCUCAAUGAGGCACAUUCCUUCCAAAGCUCUUCCAAUCUAAAUGGUGAAUAACACUUGUCUCAAUAAGUCAUAGAGUUGACGAGCGUCCUUGCACAACAGAGGACCUUGGUGAAUCAACUUUUACAACGCACCGAGAUCCAACGUGCCUCGGACAAGGUAUCCUAAAGUAAGACAAGGGCAGACGAAACUUUCCAGCAGUGUCCCGGUAAGCAGCCACUCGACUAGCCACUAGCCAAAUGUUCGGGUAGUGUACAUUCCCGAUUAGGCCCCCGAGAUAGCAUAUACUCCCGUCUUAGAUCACAGGGGAGUGUGCACUCUCGACUAGGGUCAAGGAUAAGUAUACGCUCACGGUUAGGGCCACAUUCUGAUAAUUAACAUAAGCAACCUUUCAGGCAAAAGUGUUCAUUUCCGAUAAGGCCCGCAAGGAGUAUCAUCCACCUCACAUCGGAGUAGGCAGCACAACAGACAAAGAUAAGUAGUCAUUCAAUCCGGCUCAAGUUCAACGAGCAGCCUGCAAGUUACUCGCUCUCUUGCUAGCACCAAUCUCAGCCGAGGCAUAGACGAGCCGAACAUAUGGAAUAGCAGCCUAGACCAGUAGGUCACGACAAGAGGCAGCCGAAGGCUCUGCCACCCCCCAACAAAGGCAAAUUCAGGAAGAAGUAGAAAUACUCUUGAACAAGCAAGUGCGCGAUUUCCCGCGCAACGAAGCUAUUUACAAGGCCCUUCGAUGAGACAUGACCAACAUAAGCGAGUCAUCUUUCAAUGACAAGAUCGAGCAGACAGGACUACCCCACAUAAAUUGUCGGAUAUAAAGACUUCUUCUGUUCUGACAAAACCCAGCAGCUCAGCUUAAUGGCACGCCGGGGGCAGACGAGUACCAGAAGGACACAUCAACCCAACUACCAAGAACUGGGGGCAGCCUUAUUCUCAACACUCCAGACAAUUCCUCUUUCUGCACACAACCUGGCCCAAGCCAACCCCAUCUCUGCUUUCACAACCAUGCCUGCCUACUCCACGACUCCCGGCAACCAUUGAUCUUGCACCAUGGCUCACAGCCAUGCCGACCUUGCCAUGUGGCUUGUGCCAACCAAGCCUCAAAAGGGCACACGACGAAACACCUAAUGAUGGCACAAUAAUUAUGGGAGCAGCUCACUACGCUUGCAUCCUUACGCGAGGUCCACAAGCAGUUCGAAUUCUCAAGCAGAUCGCCAAACAUGACCUCGCAGGCUAAGGAUUAUUUCGGUUGUCCCAGCAGUCUAGCUUUCCUCAGCUGCACUCACGACAAUGACUUCCGUACUCUCCAGUGCGAGAAGAUAAACUAAUUGCUCUCUAGUGCAAGAGGGUAAACUAAUUCCCCGACACCCAAAAGGGUCUGCUUUCCAGUGUAAGAGGAUAAAAUAAUUGCUCUCUAGUGUGAUAGGGUAAACCAAUUCCUCAACACCCAUAUGAGUUAGCUCUCCAGUGCGAGAGGAUAAACUAAUUGUUUUCCAGUGCGAGAGGGGAAACCAAUUCCUCGACACCCAUAUAGGUUUGCUCUCCAGUGCAAGAGGAUAAACUAAUUGCUCUCUAGUGCAAGAUGGUAAACCAAUUCCUCGACACCCAUAUGGGUUUGCUCUCCAGUGCGAGAGGAUAAACUAAUUGCUCUCAAGUACGAGAGGGUAACCAAUUCCCCGACACCCAAAAGGGUCUGCUCUUUAAUGCGAGAGGAUAAACUAAUUGCUCUUCAGUGCAAGAGGGUAAACCAAUUCCCUGACACCCAUAUGGGUUUGCUCUCUAGUGCGAGAGAAUAAACUAAUUGCUCUCCAGUGCAAGAAGGUAAACUAAUUACUCUUCAGUGCGAUAUAGUAAACUAAAUCCCUGACACCCAUCUGGGUAAGCUCUCCAGUGUGGGAAGACCACAUAGCUUAAAAGAUCGAAUGUUUGAAGAUCAACUAGGCAGCAAAUGGUUAUGGGGCAUCAGCCACUUUUGCACUUAACAGUUCACUCAUUCGACACUUCAUCUUUAGCAGCUCUGAUCUUGGCAACUUUAUCCUUGACUGCUCCAUCUACGGCAACUAAGAAAUCAAACUCAAGCAGUUUUCUUAUUUUCGGCAAGCAGCCCAGACAUGGCAGCCCAAACCGUUGCACAUACCAUGCCACUUCCUCGGCCCAUGUCGAGUUAAUCCUUGGCUUCAAUCAAGCCGAGCAACACAAGCAAUAGCCCCUGCCACACCACCUCAUUAGCCCAUGAUAAGCCGACUCCUAGCCCCUGCCAACCGACGUGCCGUACCACCCCGAUGGAUGCCCCGUGGCAGCACCUCCCAAGAAAAAGACAAAGAUAAUUAAGUUUUUCUUACAUCGGUGCGACGUAAAGAAGACAAAGAAAUCAAUGGAAUACGGUUCUUUGCACGGGCAAGCAAAGAAUAGUGCUACAAGAGGGGGAACAAAUAUCUUCUAGCUUUCUCUCUUUCUUGUAGGGAUAAAUAAUUGCCCUCCGAAGUUGAUUUAAACCCCUACUUAAGGCAUGCUUAAAUAGGCCUUGGAGGAGAAUUAUUUCCUUUUCCUAAAAGAAUCUAAUUCCAAGUUCAAUAGAGAAUCUGCAUCAAAGUCGGAAGUCUCUACAUUUGCUGCCUUUUCCUGCGAGCAACCCAGCAUAUGUGGGGGCAUUUGUGGAGCCAAAUAUAAUCACAAGGCGACACAUGGAUUUUUGGUAAAAAGGACAAAGUUACCCCUGAGACACACCGGUUGUCCUAUGCGCGAUCAGUGGACAAUCAUUCUUUAAUCAAGCCAAAAGUGUCCAAAAAAGGUAAUUAAUUCCAAAUUAUCUCAUCCAUCCUCAUCUUAGGUAAUUACUUCAUAACCUACAAAUUAUUCCAUAUAAAUGGAGAUUAAUUGGCUAAUUAAUAGAUUAAUUCCUAAUUAUUCAUUAAUCACCAAUUAAAUCACCCAUUUUCACACAAAAAACCUCUAAGGGCCGGCCACCUCCAUUCCCUAUAUAUAUGACCCUAUUUUUUUCUAGAAAAGGAGGUCCACAUUCUUGCAAAACUCCCAAAAAACUCUCCAAAUAUUUUUCUCUCUAAAUUCUAACUUUGGCAUCGAAGGUUCUUCGGCCAAAGCCCCUCCCCAUUCAUCGUGGGUGCGUGAGGCUCUUGGCCUUGACCUAACGUGUUAAUUGUUUUGUAGGUGCAAUUUUGUCCAAGAAGAAUAAUACGGAAAUUUGCAUCCACAGCAACAACAUCCAUCUUUCUUAUUUCCUCCAUCAAAACUACCAAUACGUAAUAUAUCUCUGUGUAGUGGGGAUGUGAGCGAUCUUCGGCUUUGAAAGAAAACACCUCAUUCUUUAUUUAUAUCCAACCCCAGCCGGGGACUCUUCUCACACCCUUUUCCCUCAAGCCUCUUUACGCUAGCUUUCUCACCCCAACUUUUGAGAUGCCCAUACAUGUUGGAGAAAAGAACGUAAGUGUAGUGCUCUUCCGGUUCUAAGUCUAGCAUAUGGCUUGCAAUUUGAAUAGCUAAUUCAAUAUUCCCACAAGCCCUACAGGCACCAAGUAAUGUCUUCAAAACCAUUGUGUCGGGUUUAAAUGGCAUUGCCUUCAAUCAGGUCUUUUGCCUCAUCUAGACGCCCAGCUCACCCGUAUAGAUUUACUGCGCACGCAUAAUGCUCCAUUCGCGGGGUUAUUCCAUAAUCAGAUUCCAUAGAUUUUAGGAAUUUGCUGCCUUAUUCUACCAAACCCAUGUGGAUACAAGCAGUUAGUACUGCAACAAAGGUUAUAUGAUCUAGUUUCACCUUUUCCUUCUUCAUUUGGAAGAAGAGGUCGAGUGGAACAUAUCCCUACCCAUGCUGUGCAUAUCAGAAAAUGAUUGAGUUCCAAAUGAUUCAGCUGUAUCUCAAUGAUCCCACACUUUGUGUACAUAAAUAUCAAAGAACUAGCGACAAAUUCAUUGGACUCGAGCCCUGAUUUAUUUGCCAAUGCAUGAACCUGUUGACCCAGUUGGAGGGUUUCUAAAUCCUAACAUGACCUAAGGACAGCUAAGAGAGCAUAAUGAUCAAUCUCUACCUCUGAAUAUCUCAUAUCCCCAAAGAGUUUCAAGGCAUCUUCAUUUAAACCUAUUUGUGAGAAUCCAGUCAAAUUCCCUCUCUGUUCCACCAAUGCAGGACAAACUCAGAACAUAUGAUUGACUAAUUGACCAAAUAUAUUGUAUUGAUCAACCAGCUACUCACAUCUCGUAACUAUCCACCGAUUCGUUUCUAGCAACUAUGAUCUUAUUUAAAAAUGAAAGAGAAUAACAUAAACUCAAGAUAACAGUCAUUUCAAUUUCCUCUCUGCACUCUGAUCACUUAAAACAACAUGUAUUGGUCUUCUAUGUUAAUUGACAGCACAAACAAUAUAAGGUUUUACAAAUGUAUGUCAAAAACAAGUUUAAACAUUGAGCAACGCUUCCAAAGUAGUACCAUUUGGCUAUAAUUGCCUUUCAAUUUUUGUCCUCCAACCAACAAAACUGUCACCAGAUUGCAAGUGUUCUCAUUCCUUCAUGCAUUAUUCGUCGGACAAGAGGCUCGAAUUUCGCCUUCAUCACCUGUGUUCACGCCGAUGCUAGCAAGUUUCAAGAACUACUCAGUCCAAAUCCGAUUGAAACAGCCCUUUGUGUGCUAAAAGAUUAUGGUAGUACUAAUUAUUAAAGGCAAACGAUGUUUUAGGCUCGGGUGUUAACACAGCCACCUCCCAUGAAUUUGUCCUCGGUGGCUUUGUUGCCUUAUGUGACCUUCUUGUUGGUGGGUCAUAUUUCACUAGCUUUUUGUGAUUUGUGGUUGUUGUUCCGAUCUAUGUGGUGCUUUGUGGAGGUUGUGGAGUUGUUACUUCCAUCAUUUUCGUGCAUUUGGUUGAUUGUUUGGAUUUCUCGGCGAAGCUUUGCUUCUGUGGCAUCAGUUCAAGUAGGAUUGUAAGGUCUUUGUUUGGUUUUUCUAUUUCUGGGCUCAAAACUUUGUUGGGCUUUUUAAUCGAAAGACCAAUAGUUAUGGAUUUUUUAUCGAGAGAUUAUUGCUCUAGUUAAAUUAAAAUUAAGAGACCAUUACUAUAAUUUUCUCUGCAAUUAAUGUAUGGUAGUCUUUUGCAAACAGAGACAGACUUGGAGAAGAUAUUCAUGGGAUUUGGAUCCUCUCCGGAUCCACUUGAUCUGAGCCUACGGAUCAAGUGAUCCAGGCCAUCAAAAUUUUGAUCCAACGACUAUAAACAAGCAGCCCUUCUAAAGUUAUAAUAAUUGUAGCUGUUAGAUCAAAUUUGGACGGCUGAAUCACUUGAUUUGCAGGCUCAAAUCCUUUGGAUCUGGAGAGGACCCAAAUCCAUAUUCAUGGCCAAGGGAAAGCAAUUCCUGACAAAUAUCAUUGACCAAGUUUUUCAAUCUAGAAACUACAGAGUACGCAGCUACGUAAUGCUAAAUUUCUUGGGGCUACGCUUAUUUCCUGGUUGCACAUAUAGAAGUCAAUACUAAUUAAGUCUGCUGCUAGUACUAUGGUCUAGUGAUAUUCCUUUUCACUUAUAAAUGAAAGGUAUUAUCUUCAAUUCUAGCAAAAGGCGAUUUAAACCACCUUAUUGCUAGCCUAUUGUGAAGCGUAGCCUAUUCCCCCACUACCUUAGUGUAGAUAAUAUCGUUCGUUUAAAAAAAUGCAAAUUAACUCAUCACCUCAAUUUCAAAAUCAAUAAUAUUUAUGGCAACGACUUGUACUAUAAACAUCUUACUAGUAAACACUUGAACCCCAUGAUAUACACCAUAUGUAUUCUAUGUCGCAUAAUUGGUAUUAAAAUGUUAAGAUAUAGUUGUCGCAAGUAGGCCAAAAGGAGAGACUGUUUAGUGUGUUUGGAACACGAUAUUAAACAUCACAUAUCAUAGAUAAUUGGAGAGACAAUUGAAAAAAAUAAUAAUAAUCUUCAUUUGUAUAAUAACAUGUGGCGUAUCACUUCAUGUUCAAAUACACUGAAAAAUCUCUUGACGAAAACACUGCUUGUGUCGAAUGCAAAGACUUGUGCAUUUAUUGCACUUGACUAGCUCAGACUAAACUAGCUUCAGGGACUAAACUAGACUAGCUUGGCUUGGACUAAGCAAUACUAAAAUUGUGAAGCGUUUAGUGCAGUGUUAGAUUAAGUCAAUUUAUUUUUAAAUUAAUUAUAAAGACUAAAUUUAUUUUUAAAUUAAUUAUAAAAACUAAAUUUCACAUUCUGAUCUGAAUAAUUAAAUUUAGACCUCCUCCAAAUUCUUUUUUCUUUUAUUUUUUUAAUUGAUGAAGUUCAAUAUAAUCAUGGUAAUUCUAAUAUAUUACAAAUAAUAAUAAUAAUAAUUAAGUUCAUCAAUUUCCCUUCUUCAUGCCUCUCCAUCUCUGUUCAUCUGCCAUAGCCUUGCUAAUCCUAUCAUCAUCCUAAUUAUGAAAACAAAUAGUUGCAGACCUGUUUUCUCCCAACAGUCUGCAGAUCUGAAGCAAAACACGACGCCUACCCAAUUCCCAUAUCAAUCCAAGAGGGAGAGAGAGAGAGAGAGAGAGAGGAUACUUGUUAGUGAGAGAAGGCAGCAUAGUUUCGUGUGGGACUAAUUUAGACGACUUGGUGAGGCCCGAAGUCCACACGAGUUCGGGCUAAUCUCAUUUGACUUAGUCCAUAGUCAUACCAAAUAUGGUAUAUUAGUACUAGCUAAUUCAAUCCUAGCUAAGGAUGUAAAACGAACAAGGUCGUAAUGGACAUGAAUGUAGUGGAUGAAAAUUCUGAUUCAUUUGUGGUAUUGAAUUAUCGAUUUCACUUAUGUGCGGGGUUCUAACAGUUUAAAAAUCGAAGACAAGUUUUUAAUUUUCAAUCCAAAAACUACCGGAACCAUACUUUCUUUUCAAUUUUUUGAUGCUUUUAGAAUACGUAUUAUCUCGAAAUAUCUUAGAAAAUAAUUUAGGUUCCUACAUUUUACAAGUUUGACUCAGUCUAUGUAGUAUGUUUAUAACAAGGAAGAAAAUAGAAUUUCUGCAUUUAACAAAUUUGACUCAGUCUAAUAGGCAAAUUUAAAGAUACUUGAAUUGGUUCGGCAUCAACUGUCGCAAGCGUGAAGUUUGGUUUCUCGCUUAUGUGCUAUAUGGAUAUGAUCAUGGGAUUGCCUGUCUUGUCACUGUUUCAAUAUAGAUGGAUCCAAAAAUGGUUCACUGAAUGAGAGCUUAUUAAUCAAGAACACAUUAAUAGAGUAUUCAUGUAUUUUUCAUUCCUAACUUGCACUACAAGAAACUGCUUUUUAAUGACAAAAUUUAUGUCAUUUAAAACAAAAAUGUCAUUAAAAGAUCUUACCCAUGAUGGUUUUUUUUUUUUUUCAAAUGAUCUCACUCUCUCUCAUGACAUGUAUUUUAAAAAGCGUCAAGGGUAAGAUCCUUUAAUGACGUUUUUUUUCCUAAACGACAGAAGUUUUACGUUAUUAAAAGGCAAUUUUCUUGUAGUGUAAGUGAGAGCACCUUUAAGAAUUUAACCCCAUUUUCAUGAAAAAUCAAGCUAAUUUUUGUCUUUUUCUCUAUUUUUUUCUUUACUUGUUGCAUUGAUAAUUUAAUACUCAUUCAUGUUAACAAUAAUAUGCAACUCAAUAUGAUUUUAAACAUGAGAUCGGAAGUGAGUAAACAAAGAAGGGGGAGGAAAACUUAAUAACUCAACUAGAAUUUGUAAAUAUUUCACAAGAUUAAUAUAUACACUAAAUUUUCAACUUGGAAAAGAGUGAGAGAGGGUAUGUGCCCUCCCUCUCCUGACUUAUACUUUCUCAAGCUCUAAACACUUGACCAUAUUCUGAGUACACCUCAAAAUUAUUCUUGACAUACAUACUCAAUUACUUAAUAUCUUUUUUUGGUUGGGAAACCAAUGUUUUAUUUUUAAUUUACUAGCUGUAUUACUAACACAUAACCUAUCCACUUUGUUUAGUUGUAUCAGUAUUACAUUUGUAUCUAUUGGUUCACCUAAUGAAUCAUUGGCAACCAGCAGGGGCAAAUCCAACCUUUCCACCAGCAACGUCAUACACUACCUGCAACCUCUUCUGUUGAACGUUCCCAAUAAUCCCAACACUCCUAUCAUCUUUGUUUCCGGCAAACGCCAAGCAAAACUGCGAAGCACUCUGCUGAACUAAUAUUCCUGUUGCGUCCACGUCUACCGUAACCCCAUUGCCAAACACAAACCCUAUCUUUGGAAAGGUUAUCGUUUUGAAUCCAUUGAAAUCGUAACACGUGUCCAGCAGGGAAGAAAUCGACCUAGCAGUUGGGUACCUCUUCAUCGCUUCUCGAAAUGCGUCCCGCAGCGCUGUGUACGCAGUGGCUGGGAGGCGCGUGAUCACCGUCCCCGAGUCGAUAAUUGUUCCCGAAGUCGAAAAUACCGAAGCCGAAAUUGGCAGUUGACUCCCACCGAUGUUGAUACCGACCAGUCCGAGGCCGUAAUACGACUCGCCUUGAGAUAAUGUGGUGAGCGGCACGAACUUGACGGCGUUAUAACCUGAACGUCCGUUGUCGGAGUGGCCUAAGCUGAGGUAACCGGUGGAGCUUGAAGUGGAAGGGAGGCAGUAGGAGAAGAAUCUCUUGUACUUCUGAGCGGUUUGUUCAACAAGGGAGAUCUUGCUUCGACCGAGACCGAGCAAACCGGCGAUGCCCCGAAAUAAGCCUUGGUUAUUCUGGCCGCAGCCGAAGACGAAACCAGUAAAAACAUCUGUUGAAGUCAAAGUUAACUUCUCGCUGGCAAAGAAGCCGAUUGUGAAGGAGCGGUCUCCAUACUGUUCGCCGUAAACACAGGUGGAGGCGGAACAACCGCUAGCGACACCGGAGGCUGCAAGUUGAGAACACGCGGGGGAGUUGCAGGAGAUGUUGGAGUAAGAGGUAGAGAGAGAAGGGUCGAAGAUGGGAUCUUUCUGUUGGUAACAAGAUACAGAACAUGGUCGGCACUGUGUCCAAGUGAGACUGCUGCCGGUGUCGAAUACAAGCGAAAGUUGCUUCUGGGGAGAGCCCAAGCCGACACUGACGAUGUAGUUUCCAGAACCAAGUACGCUGCCGGACUGGGCGGGAAUCACUGUGGCGUCAGAAUGUGCAAGUAGGUCGGGGAUCCUGUACUUUUUGUUUGGGUAGUUGAAAUGGGAGUGGAUUGAGUUGACUCGGGCUUCGUCUUGGUUAAGGAUUUGUGUGAGAUAUUCAUCUUGAUCGGCAGGGUUACUGUUUGAUUUGGAUUGGUGGACUUGGUUGCAUGGGCCAUGCUUGUGGACCACUUUCAGUACGGAUGCCGCCUUAUUGUCAUG